rnacentral:lncRNA from 1 species
AUUGGCAAAUACACAAAAAAUACACCUAAAACCUAGACCUAUAUAAUAGGGCUAACACCUAUCAGUUAAGGGACCAAAAACUACGCCUAAAAACCUAGGGACUCUAAGGAGCUAACGAUCGGCCGCUGGAACCAAACGACAAACCCCAUUGAAGUCCAUCGACUUUUUCAUUCCAACAGCAGUUAUCUCCAUCAACCUUGCACCGAAAAUUCCUCAAUCUCGCCGGAAAUUCGACCACCGUUAACAUACGCACACACUCACGUUUCUCGGACGAAAAAUAAGAAAAAUGCACACACAAGAAUUCUGCUUCCUUUUAAUUUCGAUUUUGGUGUUCCAAAAAUGGAGAUUAAAUUGAGGUUUGAAGUCCGGUUUUGAGGUCAUCACUGUCCAUCGAGGUCCGAUGCGUCGAUGUCAUAUGGCAAGGAAGAAAAUCGAUCUUAGAUCUGCUUUGCCCAAGUAACUCUCAUUUUUUUACUAUUCCUAUACUGUGUUAAUGAUCUCCUUACUGUCUAAUUGUAAUGUAAAUUUUCGUUAAUUAGUUUCUGUAUUGGUUUUUGCAAAUGGAGUUCGAUCUGUGCGUCUUUUCUUUUUCUUGUUGUAUGACUAGUUAACCUCGAAUCUGCUGUCCCGUGCUUCCUCUUCUAUUCGUUACUACGUUCUUAUUCGCUAUUUUGUGUAAAUCCGACCGUUAAAAGUUGACUUAUUUCAUAGUUUUUUAUGAUUGACUUAUUCGUAUCUAGGUGUCGAUUUCGAUCCGCAUUUUUCUGCCUAUUCUUGUAUUGAGUUGCAUCACAAUGCAUUCUCGUAUUUAACUUCACGGAUGUUAUGGAGAAUCUGAUGAACUUGGGAACAAACUUGUUAAUGUGAUGUGGAAGGUACUCCUCGUCUUCUGCUUGAAAUUUAGUGAACACCAUGUGUGCUCAUAUUUAACUUAAUGCACGUCAGGGAGAAUCUGAUGAACUUGUUUACCAAGUAAAGUUGGUUUUCUAUUCGAAAUAGAACGAGGCUCAAGAUUUGGCAUAAUAAGUAUUUGCUAGGACUUGUGCUCAAGAAGAGAAACUCAACGUAUCUGUAUCGCCUAAUUCCGAUCCUAAUGAUUGGGGAAUGCUACCUAUGCAAACUAUGAAUAGUUCUGAUGGUUGAGAUUCUUAUUCUUGGGGUUUUCUUAGUUGAGGCUAAUGAAAUUGAUGCUGUGAUUUUACAAAAAAUGAUGUUAUGUGUUGGUUUGGAAGUAUUUCUAUCAUUGUGGCUAUGGGUACGGUUCCCGUGGCAUGGUCGCGAUACAUAAUUCCAUAUUCGGGUGUGCAUUUCAUGUGACCUGAUUCUAAUUUCCAACGAGGUUGAAUAGAACGUGUCAUGACUCACGGGUGCAUUUCAUGUAGCGUGGCUUGCGACGUGUUUUAAACAACCUUGAAAUAAUUCCUUAAAUAAAUAAAAGUGGUUUUAAAGUUAAAAAUUCACAUAGGUUUAAAAGUAUUUAAAAUCGGAUAAUUAGGCCAAUAAUAAUAGUUGAGUGACCGUGCUAGAACCACGGAACACGGGAAUGCCUAACACCUUCUCCUGAGUUAAUAGAAUUCCUUACCCGGAUUUCUGUGUUCGCGGACUAUAAAACAGAGUCAAUCUUUCCUCGAUUCGGGAUUUGAACCGGUGACUUGGGACACCAUAAUUAUCUCAAGUGGCAACUCUGAUUUUAAAUAAAUAAUUCCGUUUCGAUUGUCACUUAAAUUGGAAAAAUACUCCCUUAUAUAUCCCUCGGGGUGUAAAAAGGAGGUGUGACAUUUGUUUUCUUGUAAAAAAAAUUAAAAAGAUUAAAGACAAGGAUGUUUACUUUCUUGAUGAAAUCAUACCCUUGGCUUAUGUCAAGGUUGUUAUUCUCUAUUUCCUUUUUGUUCCUUUUUCAUGAUUUUAUUUUCAUUAGAUAGCAAGUUGAGAUAUUUAAUGUUGUGCCAAUUAGUGCUCGUUAAAUAUAUAGUAUUGAAGAUUGAGGCACAGUCGAGUCAUGUGUACGGUUAUUUGAAGAUUCAAAUUUAACUUUUCGUGGUAAACAUAAGCUGCUAUAUGAAAAGUUCAAUAAACAUUGGUUUAAAACAACUAACAAAGUUUUCAAGCCUGUAUAAAGUUACUGCACCGAAAAUGUGAUAUUGCUAUGGAGACGUAAGUAAACUAAUGAUAGUAGUGUUUGACCAAAAAGUAUAACUUUCGGUUAAAUCUUUAUAUUUAUAUAAUGAUGGGUUAAACCUAGUUAAUAAUAAUAUUUUUAAACGUAAAACUUAAAAAUAUGAAUAAUAUAGGGUUGACCCAGUGGGGAGUUAAUGACAUUGUGCAUUAAAUAUUCCAAAACUAUGAGCAAUAAUGGAGAAAUAACUAGCAAUAAAUAACAAUAAAUGUGUGACGACCCGACUGGUAGUUUUGAGUAUCUGCACUUCGCUCGGUGUUUUGAGGGCUCGAGUAUCUCCGCAUGAGGUAAUAUGACUUGCGUUAAUCGUCGGCAUUGAUUUUCGAGUUAUCCGGAAUCAAUUUGGAAGAAUGAACUUCGAGAGUUGAGUACUAAGUUGGAAGAGUUGACCAAGUUUGACUUUUAGCAUUUGACCUCGUAAUGGAGUUUCGUCAGUUCCGUUAGCUUCGUUGGGUAAUUUUGGACUUAGGAGCGCGUCCGGAUUGUGAUUGGGAGGUCCGUAGUUGAAUUUGGCUCGAAAUGGCAAAAGUUGGAUUUUUAGGAAGUUUGACCGGGAGUGGACUUUUUGAUAUCGGGGUCGGAUUUCAAUUUCGGAAGUUGAAAUAGGUCCGUAAUGUCAAAAGUGACUUGUGUACGAAAUUUGAGGUCAAUCGGAGGUGAUUUGGUAGGUUUCGGCAUCGGUUGUGGAAGUUGACGUUUCAAAGUUUAUUGAUUUCAACUUGAGGUGUGAUUCAUCAUUUCGAGGUUGUUAUGCGUGAUUUGAAGCUUCGAGUAGAGUCGUCUUAUCAUAUGGAUCUUUUCUGCAAAAUUUGGCGUCAUUCGUAGUUGAUUUGAUAUGGUUUGGACGCCCGGUUGUGAUUCUAGAAGUUCUUGAAGUCUAAUUUGAUUUGCAUGCAUUUUGGCGUCCAAUUCGUGGUUGUAGAAGUUAUUUUGAUGAUUUGAGCGUGCGAGUGAGUUCGGGUUAUGUUUUUACACUUGUGUGCAUAUUUGAUUUGGAGCCCCGAGGGCUCGGGUGAGUUUCAGAUUUUUUUUCGGAAUGUUAUUGCAUAGUUUUUAAUUGCUGGUUCGGGUAUUUUUGCAUUUGCGAGGUUUUGAUCGCAAAUGCGGCCAUCACAUUUCCGAAGAAACUCCGCAUUUUGCGAAGCCUGGGUGACUGGGCAGUUUUCGCAUUUGCGAUGAACCAGCCACAUUUGCGAAGGCUGGUCUUCGCAUUUGCGAAGUUUUCUGUUGCAAAUGCGAUCUCAGCAGGCAUCCUUCAGGUUCGCAAUUGUGAUGUAUUCUUCGCACUUGAGGGUUCGCAAAUAGCAAAUAUCUGCAACCUGAUAAGUGUUGAGAAUUCUGAGUUUUUACUUCAUUUUUCACAUUUUUGAACCCUAGCUUCGAGGCGAGGCGAUUUUGAGAGGGGAUUUUCAUACCAAAUCAUUGGGUAAGUAUCUUUAAUCAAUUUCCAACUAUAUUUCAUAAUUUUCUACAAGAUUUAACAUCAAAUUCAUGGGAAAUCUAUGGAAAAAUUUGGAGAUUUUGUCAAAGUUUUGAAAAAUAAAAAUUUGAGAUUUAAGAGUUGAAUAAGAUUCAGAUUUUAAAAUAAAACACAUAUUUGGACUCGUGAGGCUAUGGGUAGUCAAGACCUACCCUUGGACCCGGGUUUUGACCGGGCGGGCUCGUGGUUUGACUUUUGUUGACUUAUUAAAAAUUGAAUGGAAAUCAUAGCUUUAUUAAUUGGAAUUGUUUUCUCUUGCAUUGUGUGGUGUAUUCAAGUCGUCAUUGGUUAGAUUGAGUUUAGCGGAGGCGAAUUUAUAGAGGAAAAGGCUAAGUUGGGUGUUGAGUUAGCCGAAUCGAGGUAAAUAUUUUGCCUAACUUUGUUGAGGGAAUUUUUCCUCCUAUUUGUCAUUGUUUGCUACAUGCGGGGGUGAUACAUAUAUGAGGUGACGAGCGUAUAUAUAUGUGACAGGGUUAAUCAUGCGUGGGGGGUGGAUUAUGUUAUAUUUGUGUUUGUAGAAUUUUGUGACACUCUGCUUAAUGCCUUAUUUGAUUCUUAGAUAGUAAGGGCAUAAUAUUAAAUGAUAAAUAUCAAGAUUUAGUUUGUUAUAACUUGAUCGAACUUGAUGGAAAUUAUAAGAAUACAUUGAUGUGUCUAAUUCAGUCAUCUCUAUGUGAAAUUAUUACUACAUUACUACAACCGAUAUUCUUGGGAUGUUAGACUAUAUACUUGUGUUGUGGAUCAUUUAUGAGACACAUAGAAAUAUUUGAAUAAUAUGGUUCUUGAGAGUUGUUUAAUCAUUGUUGACUUGGAAAGUUGUGAUUGGGAAUUGUCUGGAUUAUCCAUUAAAACACUCUCCUUGAUGUCAAUUAUACUUCCUGCCUUGUUUGUUACUGUUAUUUAUAUGCUUGGUAAGGAAGAGUGUAAAGCACGAAGGGUGAUACCGUGCCAUUAUUUAUACAUUAUCAUAUGAGGGAGAGUGUAAAGCACGAAGGGUGAUGUCGUGCCAUAUCAUUUGAGAGUAAAAGCAUGAAGGGUGAUGUCGUGCCAUAUUAUUGAGAGUAAAACCACAGAGGGUGAUGUCGUGCCAUAUUAUUGAGAGUAAAAGCACGAAGGUUGAUGCCAUGCCAUAUCAUUUGAGAGUAAAAACAUGAAUAAUGAUGCCGUGCCAUUUCAUUUAUGUUAUUAUGCUUGUAUGUUAUUGUGAGGUUAUGGCACAAAGGGUGUUUCCGUGCAGGUGAGGACGAGGGACAUGCAUUAUGAUGUGAUAUCCGUUUCCCCGUGUAUAUGUUUGUGCCUUUACUUUGAGCUGUUAUUGUUGUGAUUACAUAUUUUGUGUGACUUGUUGUUAUUGUCAUGUAUUUGACCUUUAUCUCAAUUGUUGUUGCACUAUCCAUGUCUUUUUCUUGCUUAAUUUGCGAACACUGUGCCUAUUUCCUACUUUUACAUUUAUACUCAUGUUGUAUCUAUUUUGUUGCACUUUAGAUUAAGCCUUCCACCAUGCUAGCCAUUCAUGCCUUUACUUGUCAACUUGUAAAGAUCAAGUGUUUCCUUCUUAAUUAUUAUAUUUGCACAAAGGCCUCCAAUAUGCUAGUUAAUUGAAGUUGAUAUUCCUUGUUUUUCGAUUGUUGAUAUUACUCACGUGCUUUCCGUUUAGCCCUUUUACUAUGACCCACAUGUGUAUCCUUGUCCUUUGUUGUUACUUGCAUAUUUCCUACUUUGUAAUUCCUAUUAUUGUGUUCAUGUUAUAUGGUUGGUUUUGUUAUACGUUUAUCUGGAAAGAUGAGUUGAUCGCACGAAGGAUAUUGUCGUGCUAAUUGAAUUAUUACAUAAACUUAUUAAUACAUGGUGAGAAGGAGAUAAAAGCACGAAAGGUGUUACCGUGCCAUAUGAUUUGACAUUUUGACAUUUUGGGCAUGCAUCUCAUACCAGGAAAUACCAUAAAUAUCCCUCUGUGGUUCCUAUUAGUAGUUAUUGACUGUCUUGCCGAGUUGUUUAUGAUACUUUUAUCUGUUAUGUUUUGAACUGCUUUACAGUUAAUCCAUUGUACAAGUUAUAUUAAUAAGCAUCUUUUUAACUAAAAGCCUCAUCACUACUUCGACGUGGUUAGAUAAAGUACAUGGAGUCGGUUGUACUGAUACUGCACUUUUGCACGUUUCAUGUAGAUUUUCGGAGUAGAGCUGCUGGUGACGUCGGGUGCUGAUUCAGAAAAUGUUCGUGCAUUUGGUUGAAGCUGCCACUUUUCCUUGGUAGUUUUUGACAUUUUUAAUCUAUUUUUGUAAUUUUCAAACAGAUCGUGGGAUAAUUUGUACUAGCUUUGUAAAUCCUAAAUUCUAGAUGCUCCUGACUUUUAAUACCAGUUCUUAGGUAAGUUUGUAAAAGUUCUGAUAAAUCCUAACUUCAUUUUUAUACAAGUUAUUUGGUUUGUUUCUUAUGUUAAUUGGCUUACCUAACGGGUCAAGUUAGGUGCCAUCAUGACCUGUGAUUUUGGGUUGUGAUAAGGUGGUAUCAGAGUACUAGGUUCGUAGGUUCUACGAGUCAUGAACAAGUGUCUAGUAGAUUCCUGUGGAUCGGUAUGAUGACGUCCAUACCUAUCAUCGGGAGGCUAUAGGGCAUUUAAGAAAAAAUUUCCCUUCCUUCUUUUCUUAUCGUGCGGCUUUUCUUUUGCUUGAAAUCUACAACUUUGACUUUUCCCGAUCACUCAUAUAUGAUGUUGUGCGCUUGAUAUUCGCUAUAUGCUAACGAUCGGUGAUGCUGUAGAUGGAUUACAAUGGUCUAUGGGUGCUUGAUUAUCAACGCAAUGCGUUUUCCAGCCUCAGAAGCAAAUGUAAUGUUAAAUCUUCUAGUCAUUCGUUUGUGGUAGGAGGCAGGUUCAUAUGUCUGGUUGGUAAGCACAAAUUUGGAAAGAUUGGUUGGUGGCCAGGCUAUUGUGAUUAAGGUGAGUUCAUGGUAAGGAAUCGAUUUGAGUAUAACCGAUGGGACAUCUCUUACAUGAUGAGUUUGGAUCGUGCGGCUUGUAUGAGGUUUCCAUUUGGUGGAGUGCAUAUGUUAUCAUUUCAGAGCAUUUGGGAAAGUUGGUGACUAUUGCAAUGAUGGGCAAGCGUUUGGCAGAAUCUUCAGGGUGUUCUAUGGCUUCAAGCUAAGUGGCCGAGGCUGCUAAUGACGAUCGGAUUGUAGGAUCAUGGGCCGUAUCAGUUUCCAAACCGAGAGCUUUCAUGUUUAUUUCUUUGAAUGGGCAUAUGCUGGUGAAGCAUGGGUUGCUCAACGCGUAUUAGCUGCGCAUUGAAGAUCAGAAUAAGAUGAGUGGAUUUAAGGACUUUUGAAUUUGUCUACGGAGCAGUGAAUGGUAAUCAGAUUCACGGUAUUUCCUUGUCAAGAAAGUUCUACAAGUCAAUAUUGGGGUGAUGCAAGAAAUGGCUUCGGGUUCCCAGGAAGUUCCCUUAGGGCGGGCAUAUUGGAUUGAGUUUCUUUCGGGUUGGCAGUCUGCGUAACUUAGUUGAGGUAGAGGUGAUUGGUUCUUAUUCCUCGAUUAUGUGUUAAUGAGUUCCGAAGAAUUUACGAUGGUUAUGACCAUGGACGGGGUUGAUGUUUUCUACAGGUAUAGAGGCUAUAUUGCUUGUGGUGGUGUUUUCCUAGAUUGGGCUAAAUGAAAGAUUCCCGGUUGAUGAGGUGUUCAAUUUUCUUAUGGUUUAGAGUUGGCUAUAAGAUUUUUGUAGUGUUGCGAGUUAGCAUGUUAGAGACGAUGUGCCAUAUGGGGAAUGAGAAGUUACAUGUGCAAGGUUGCCGUUUAGGUUUGGAGGGAAGGAUACGAGUUCUUGAUAUCUCAGACAACUUCGGGUGUUUGAGGUCUUGUUGGCACUAUGGGUUCCCUCGAAGUAGAGUUCGCCUAUUGGAGGAUACAAUGUAUUUUGACUUAUGGGUGUUUCUUCGUGAGAUGAUGAAGUAUGAAUUACACGACAGCUAUUUGAGUAGCGGUGUUGAUAUUGGGUGUUACACCUCCUUUUUCCUACCCACCCGUAAGGGAUAUAAAGGAGUUUUUCCAAUUAAAGGACAAUCGAAACGGGAUUGUUUAUUAAGAAAUUUAGAGUCGCCACUUGGGAUAAUUUAUGGCAUCCCAAGUCACCGGUUUAAAUCCCGAAUCGAGGAAAGAUUGACUCUGUUUAACAGUCUGCGAACCAGAAAUCCGGGUAAGGAAUUUUGUUAACCCCGGAGAAGGUGUUAGGCAUUCCCGAGUUCCGUGGUUCUAGCACGGUCGCUCAACUGUUAUAUUCGGCUUAAUUAUCUGAUUUUAAAAUAUUUUUGAACCUAUGUGCAAAUUUUAACUUUUAACCGCUUUUAUUCAUUUUAAAGAAGAUUUAACGUCGUUUAAAACAUGUCUUUGGAUUGUGCCACAUGAAAUGUACCCGCAAUCCGUAACACAUUUUAUUUAACGUUGCGAGAUUUAGAGUUGGAUCACAUGAAAUGCACACCCGAGUUUAGGAAAGUAAUAUUAUUGAAUAUACGCGCCUAGAGCAACUACGCGUUUUUAACUUUGUAAGGGCCAUGGAAAUUUCCUAAAUGGCACGCCUCGAAUUCUAAGUAUUUUAAAAGAAACAAUUAAGCGAGGGCCACGCAUUUGAGAUUUUAUGUUUGGCAUGGCGCACCUCAAUUUAUUCUAAUUAGAGCGUUGCUAAACUAAUACAUGAGGACCAUAAGUUGUUAUUGGUUUUGAAUGACACACCUCGAUUAUUUUACAAGGAGUUAACUAAAUUAAACCACAUGGAACAAUUAUAAUUACGAGUACGAAAAUUUCAAACUCAAUGCCUAGAACUUGUAUGUUGACAAUUUGUGACAACAGAUUGAAUUCAUAAAACCAAACCCAAGUGGGUUAUGGACUCAUAACCUACCUAAAUGUCAAUAAGCAAGAAAAUCAAAAUAGGCUUAAACGUAAAUCCCCGAAACUGCAAUGUACCCAGUAGAGGAAGUUCGACAAAACUGGGCCAAUCCUGUAACCUAGUCCGAAACUGUGAGCAUUAGUUGCUACAAGAGAUCCAUGUUGAAAAAUGCAAACUUAACAACCCAAGUAUUACCAAUUUACAACUCAUUUCAUCAUUUUAAACCAAAAUAAGUUUCUGAUAUGUUCCCUCCAACUGCUGGAUUCUGAUUUCAUGCCAACAGGCCAAAAUUCAGAUUCACAUUCCAUUCACGAUUUUAUUAAACUUCCAAGAUUGCUUAUGCGUAAAAAAAUAGCAGGCUUACGUGAGAAAACCAAAACAUUGGACUAUACUUCAAAUCAUUUGCAAGAAAAUCUAAAGGAAUGAUUAAGAGGGAGAUAACAUUAAACCAAACUGCUGAGCCUAUAACACAAGCAAACCAAACUAGUAGCGUCCCAUUAUACAUGUUAGGCUAGAAUAAAAUUUUGAAUAAGUCAUAGUCAAAGGAGACCUCAGCUCCAGCCUUAGAACAACAGAUGAUACCCAACGACUACACCUAAGAAGCGAAACUAUAAUGGACACUAAACUAAAGCACGGUAAGGUCACAUAGCUAAGAAAUAACAAGGAAUUAGCACUUUGACAAUUUCUUCAACUUGAAUUAAAUAACUCGAACCACAGCUUAGCUAAAACUUCAUUUCCAUUCAUGGUGUGAAGAAAGUACAUGGAUACAUCAAUCAAAACAGAAGGAAAGGAAAUGGUUAAGGCUCAGAACUGCAGUCUACAGCAACAAUGCAACAAUGAAACCCAAUUGCAAACCUAGGUGAUGCACAAUAUCCCAAAAACAACUUCAAUUGAACAGAGACCCAACAAAACUCAAAACCAAACUUUUACAAACCCAGAAUCAAUCCAUUUUUAAACCCCCAAGUGAAUCAUAAGUUGCAUCAGAAAUUGAAAAUCUUAAGAACACCAAAAAAAAUCAAUAGAACAAUGAUUUCAUCUAGUUUUAGCCGUCUGUUGUUUUUUCAAAAUUCUCUAUCUCUAAUCUCUCUAAAAUCAAACAAUUUUAGCCCCCAAAUAAAUCAAUAUGUAUUUCAGAAGUUGAAAAUCUAAGAAAUCACAAAGAAGCACUCAAUGAAACAGUGAAAUUUUUGUGGAAUUCUUAGCUGUUUCAGAAAUUUCUAUUCUCCCCCCCUCUCCAUAAUUUUCAGCCUUUAAAUAGACAUUCAAUUUGUGUCAUUCCCAUUAUCAAAUCACCUUUUCCAUUCUUAAUUAUCCACUUAACUUAAUGCUUUUUACUUUAAUCAGUAGUGUAUUUUCAAACCCUAGCACUUAUUAGAAGCUUCCUAAAUUAGGUGAGAUUCACUUCAAACUACCCAUACAUUACCCCUUAAACUUCCGUUAAUUACUUUCAAGAAACCAGACGGAUAUGGGUCAAUCUUGACCCAAAACCUAUCAGGACUUUGAUGUGGGAUCAAGAAUGGCCUGAAGGCCCAAACAAUCAAACUAAUCCAGGCUAAAUUAAGUGUUUUUACAAAAAGAAGAAGAAAACAAUCAUUUGAAGGGUUUGAAAACUAAAACUAUCUAUAAGACUGAUUAACAACAUACAAACAUGAACUAAAAUCAAACAGACAAUUAAUAAUUUCAAAUAAAACCUAAUUCACAUCUUAACUAAGUUGUUCAAAGACAAAGAAGAGAAGAAGAAGAGGCAGAGGUGGAAUAUGCAUUAAAAUAAAAAGAAAUGAUACCGGGAAACUCACCGACUAAGCUGGAAAUCAACUUGGUACCCUGACUUUACGAUUUCAUCGCCAAAUAAUGUUAGUCACUUUUUCUUUGUCAAAACAAGUGAGUAACAUUAUUUUGUUACAAAACCAGCUCUAAAACUGGAACCAUCAUCAUCAACCUCGAGUUUUUGAUUUGGCUCUUGGAACCCGAAUUUGGGAUUUAAAAUUCGAGGGGUUUAGAACAGAUUUGAGGGAAUAUACUUGGAGAUUAGGGAGGAGGGAGGCAUGGGGAUUCCCUGGUGUUAAUUUGGGAUUGAUUGGAAGUAGCACCGCCACCGGAGAAUAUUAGGGCGACACUAGGGUUUAUCCUUUCGAAUCGAUAUUCGAAGACCUCCAGGGAUGUUCUAAAGAAAAGAAGUAGGGGUUUGGAAAUGUGAGGGUGAGAGGAGUCUAUGGUGUAUUUUUGGGGGUGAUUGGCCAUCGUCCGCCGCCGUGGACGAUUUUCGGCGGCGGAAAGCGGCAGAGUGAGGCAGUGAUUUGUUGGUCUCUGAAGAGAGACGAGAGAGAGGAGGGGGAGUGUUCUGAGGGUAGGGUCUAAUGGGUUAGGGUAUACUAAAGGGGUAAUUAAAUUAGGGCCGUUGGAUGAUGAGAAUCCAACGGCCAUGAUUGAUCUUUUAACGAAACGGGGUUGUUUGGUGUAGCAACUGGGGCGGACCGGGCAUUGGGUGGACGAGUCGGGUUGGGUAUUGGGUGAAGGCUUUUGGACCGUUCGAUCAAAUUAAUUCAAAGGCCCAGAUUGAGACGCCUGGAACAGCAUCAUUUGGUUUGAAGCUGGAGACGAACCGGGUUGGGGAAAAGUCUAGGCCGGUUUUUGGGGUGGGUUUUAGGUGUAUUUGUUCUAUUUUAUUUUGGGCUGGGGAUUUUUUGCCCAAUUCUAUUUUACCCUCUUCUAUUUAAUUCUUUUCCUCUUCUAUUUAUUUCCCAAACUAGUUUUUCAAAAUAAAAAAUAAAAUCCUAAAUUAAAUUAUAAACCCAAAUUAGCUUUAAACAUAUUAAUUAACUCUAAAUAAUAAUUAUCAUAAAUAAUUAAAUACUAAAUUAAAAGAAAUAUCAAAAAAUACAAAAAAAAUAUGUUAUUUUUUGUGAAUUUUUUCAUUUUUGUAAAUCACCUAAUUAUUAAUUAAUUCCAAAAUGUCAAACUAAAUCCUAAAUGCAAUUACAAUAUAUAUUUUUUGUAUUUUUCAUUACUAAAUAAAAUAAACAGGCACAGACAAUAUUCACACAAUGACAGAAAAUGCCACUAAAAUCCACAAAAAUCGCAAAUAAUGAAAAAAUUAUUUUGUUUUGAAUUUUCUGGGAGUAAUUCAUAUAGGGCAAAAAUCACGUGCUCACAGCUGCCCCUCUUUGCUCGGAAACAUGAAGAAUUUUUGUGCAAAAAUAAAGUGAGCGGAUACGAGCGAUUUUUGCCCGUUUGAAUACUCUGUGGAAAGCAUUUUUGAAAGAUUUGACCGAACCUAUGCUUCAAAGGUUUCCUACAUAUCAUUGGCUAUAAAGGAAUCAGGUCAAUGUAGUUCGGGAAGUUUUGGUAGCUGGGACUACCAUGAAGCUGUGGUUUCACUGUUGUUGUUGCUGCUGUUACUACUUAUUGAUCUCCUUAUUACACCAUGACAAAAUAAAGAAGCUAGACUAAGCUUAUAAUAUAUGCUUUACAAAGAUUUAUUUUCAAACUUGGUCUUUGUGACUGUUGUUGCCUUCGUUGACUUGUAUUGCCCUAUAGAAGUUCCUUUGUUGCUGACUUAAAGUGUAUUUGUGAGAUGCUUUCCCUUUCCUCCAGGCAGGCACCUCGUUGCUGAGCCUUUAAACGUCUUCCUUUGACCAUUGUUGCCUAUCUUCUGUUCUCCAGGCGGGCUCCUGAUUACUUGAACUUGAAUUGCUUCUUCCCUUCGUUCUCCAGGCGGGUUCCUGAUUACUUGAAAUUUGAAUUGUAUUCCCUUGCUCUCCAAGUGAGUGCCUGAUUGCCGAAACUUGAGGUGUACUCCCUUGCUCUCCAGGUGGGCGCCUGAUUGCUGAAGCUUGAAUUGCAUUCCCUUGUUCUUCAGGUGGGCUCCUGACUACCGGGUCUUUAACUGCUUUUCCUUGUUCUCCAGGUGGACGCCUGAUUGCUGAUACUUUAACUGUUGUUCCUUGUUCUCCAGGUGGACGCCUGAUUGCUGAUAUUUCAACCGUUAUUCCUUGUUCUUCAGGUGGAUGCCUGAUUGAUGAUAUUUCAACUGUCUUUCCUUGUUCUCCAGGUGGAUGCCUGAUUGCUGAAUCUUUAACUGCUUUUCCUUGUUCUCCAGGUGGAUGCCUGAUUUCUGAAAUUUGAAUCAUCUUCUUCUUGCAACUGCCUUUCUUUGACUUGUUCUCCCUUGUUCCUCUAGGUGGGCGUCUGAUUACCAAUACUUGUGCUAAUCUUUCUUGAAACUUGAUUUGUUUUCCCUUGUUCUCCAGGUGGGCCCCUGAUUACUUGGUCAUGCUCUGCUUUUUAUCAUUAAUAUCUGUGUUGUUCUUCCUUGUUCUUCAGAUGGGCAUCUGACUUCAGCAAAAUAGACAACAAAAGAAAAUUUCCUGCCCUAGUUUGGUAACCGGGCGCAUCUGUGAGUGUUAAUUGAAUCCUUUUACCAAAUAUCUAUAGCAAUCUGCAAGCUAUAUCCCAUUAUCCAGGAGGGUCCUUAAAAUCUCUAGUAAAUUUCCAAAGCUACAUUAUAUUUUUUAGAGGUAUGACUUCCGUCGAAUCUUGUUAUCUAAGACAGUCUUAAAGCUACAUCCCAUUAUCCAGGAGGGUUCUAAAAUUUCGAAUUAAACCUUAUCUUACGGAUGACAAUUUCAACGCUAAACUGUACUCUCUUAUAACAACACUUACUUAUCUAAUGGAAUGCUUAAAGUUACGUCCCAUUAUUCAGGUGGGUCCUGAAAACUCUUAUGCGAACUUUGAAGCCAACUUAUAUUCCUUUUGGUGCAUAUUUGUCCUAUAUUUACUACUUAUGAUUGUUUUGGAUUUUAACCUAGGUCCCAUUUUCCAGGAGUGUCCUGAAUUUUCGAAUUGAGUCUUGUCUUAAAAAAAUGAAAAAGUCAAACCAACUUAUAUUUUCACAAAGUAGAGCUUAUGCUAGAUAUUGUACUCAUGAAUAUUUCUAAUUAAAGCUAAGUCCCAUUAUCCAGGAGGGUCCUGAGAACUCCUAAUUGAAUCCUAUCUUAAAUAUGCAAACUUUGAAACCAACUUAUAUUCCUUUGGGGUACAUUUAUGCUAGAUUUUGCUAUUUACAAUUGUUUCUAUUUUUAAACUAGGUCCCAUUUUCCAGGAGGGUCCUGAGAAUUCUACAAUCAAACCUGCCUGGUACUUGUUCUCCUUAUGGAUGAUUUCCUAAAACAAAUGCCAUCUUUGCCUCUAUUUCAAAUCAAAUAAAAUCUUGUCAGUUUAAAACGUGGUGGUUCGUUGUGGCAUUCUUGCUGGGGAUGGUUUUCUCUUUGCCAUGCUUUGCUUCGACCGACUGCCUCGAACUGGUCAAAAGAUUGUUUUGACCUUCUGACUGAUCCUUAACUGCAGGAUCCCCCAAUUGUUGUUAUCCACUUCCGACCUUUCUGCCUGAACCCAUACAUCUCCCACGACAUUACUGAACCAUUCCACCGGUAUAACUUUUGCUUACACCCUAUGUCCCAAAUUUCAUCAUAUCAUCUCCGGCAUGUUCUAGCCGUAUUUUGCUUUGUGCAAUUUCGAAACUGGUAGUAAACUCUGAAAUUCCUUUUUACAAGGCUAACCUUGGAAGAGCUUUAGAGGAGUAAAAUUAACAACAAUGAAAUGCGUUGAUUUUGGGAAUUAAGAAUAAAGAAGAAAAAUCCAAAUUUGGAUGACUGUUGGAGAUAGGAAAAGAAACUUAUCUGAGGGGAGUCACUGGAACCGAUGAUCAUGGUAUGCAUUUUGGAUUAAUCAGCUCAGUCUAUUUAACCAAUCUCCUUUCCAAUUGUUUUACUUUGUACUCCAAGAUUUCCACAACUCAAUUUACUUUCCGCCAACUUACGGACCUUGUUCGACUUGCAGUGCCCUGAAGGGUUUUCACCGACAAACCUCUAUCAUUUGUUCAUUCCUCGAUUCCCUGUCGCCUCAUGGUGCCCACGAAGGUUUUCACCGAUAAGACUCUCUCAUUUUUUCUUUCUCUCAGCUUUCGUCGCCUCAUGGUGCCCAUGAGGGUUUUUACCAAUAAGACUCUCUCAUUUUUUGAUUUCUCUUGCUUAAACCGGAGUGUUGCCCCUGAUAUGAAUUCUCUUUACUUGUUUGAUUUGGCAUCUCUCAAAAACUGAUUGGGAAGUCUUUCUUUGGACAGUCAUGUGGGUUCUUGGAUAUGUUUGGAAAGAAAAGGGUAUUGAAAAGGCUCCAAGCAUCUCAAAUAGGUUAGAAUUACAACUUUUGGAAUGAGAUUUCUUAUCACAAUCACAAAUUAUGCCCCAGUUUUUUGCUUGGGGAUCUUUUGAUAUUUUAUUUUACUAUGGCCGAGUCGUGAGGCUGCCUACGUAUCCUUAGCAGGAAUCAGGUCAAACGUAGUUCACACCCGAAUUUUUUUGUUUUCUUGUACUUUCUUUUUUUUUCUUUCUUUUCUUUCUUUNNNNNNNNNNNNNNNNNNNNNNNNNNNNNNNNNNNNNNNNNNNNNNNNNNNNNNNNNNNNNNNNNNNNNNNNNNNNNNNNNNNNNNNNNNNNNNNNNNNNNNNNNNNNNNNNNNNNNNNNNNNNNNNNNNNNNNNNNNNNNNNNNNNNNNNNNNNNNNNNNNNNNNNNNNNNNNNNNNNNNNNNNNNNNNNNNNNNNNNNNNNNNNNNNNNNNNNNNNNNNNNNNNNNNNNNNNNNNNNNNNNNNNNNNNNNNNNNNNNNNNNNNNNNNNNNNNNNNNNNNNNNNNNNNNNNNNNNNNNNNNNNNNNNNNNNNNNNNNNNNNNNNNNNNNNNNNNNNNNNNNNNNNNNNNNNNNNNNNNNNNNNNNNNNNNNNNNNNNNNNNNNNNNNNNNNNNNNNNNNNNNNNNNNNNNNNNNNNNNNNNNNNNNNNNNNNNNNNNNNNNNNNNNNNNNNNNNNNNNNNNNNNNNNNNNNNNNNNNNNNNNNNNNNNNNNNNNNNNNNNNNNNNNNNNNNNNNNNNNNNNNNNNNNNNNNNNNNNNNNNNNNNNNNNNNNNNNNNNNNNNNNNNNNNNNNNNNNNNNNNNNNNNNNNNNNNNNNNNNNNNNNNNNNNNNNNNNNNNNNNNNNNNNNNNNNNNNNNNNNNNNNNNNNNNNNNNNNNNNNNNNNNNNNNNNNNNNNNNNNNNNNNNNNNNNNNNNNNNNNNNNNNNNNNNNNNNNNNNNNNNNNNNNNNNNNNNNNNNNNNNNNNNNNNNNNNNNNNNNNNNNNNNNNNNNNNNNNNNNNNNNNNNNNNNNNNNNNNNNNNNNNNNNNNNNNNNNNNNNNNNNNNNNNNNNNNNNNNNNNNNNNNNNNNNNNNNNNNNNNNNNNNNNNNNNNNNNNNNNNNNNNNNNNNNNNNNNNNNNNNNNNNNNNNNNNNNNNNNNNNNNNNNNNNNNNNNNNNNNNNNNNNNNNNNNNNNNNNNNNNNNNNNNNNNNNNNNNNNNNNNNNNNNNNNNNNNNNNNNNNNNNNNNNNNNNNNNNNNNNNNNNNNNNNNNNNNNNNNNNNNNNNNNNNNNNNNNNNNNNNNNNNNNNNNNNNNNNNNNNNNNNNNNNNNNNNNNNNNNNNNNNNNNNNNNNNNNNNNNNNNNNNNNNNNNNNNNNNNNNNNNNNNNNNNNNNNNNNNNNNNNNNNNNNNNNNNNNNNNNNNNNNNNNNNNNNNNNNNNNNNNNNNNNNNNNNNNNNNNNNNNNNNNNNNNNNNNNNNNNNNNNNNNNNNNNNNNNNNNNNNNNNNNNNNNNNNNNNNNNNNNNNNNNNNNNNNNNNNNNNNNNNNNNNNNNNNNNNNNNNNNNNNNNNNNNNNNNNNNNNNNNNNNNNNNNNNNNNNNNNNNNNNNNNNNNNNNNNNNNNNNNNNNNNNNNNNNNNNNNNNNNNNNNNNNNNNNNNNNNNNNNNNNNNNNNNNNNNNNNNNNNNNNNNNNNNNNNNNNNNNNNNNNNNNNNNNNNNNNNNNNNNNNNNNNNNNNNNNNNNNNNNNNNNNNNNNNNNNNNNNNNNNNNNNNNNNNNNNNNNNNNNNNNNNNNNNNNNNNNNNNNNNNNNNNNNNNNNNNNNNNNNNNNNNNNNNNNNNNNNNNNNNNNNNNNNNNNNNNNNNNNNNNNNNNNNNNNNNNNNNNNNNNNNNNNNNNNNNNNNNNNNNNNNNNNNNNNNNNNNNNNNNNNNNNNNNNNNNNNNNNNNNNNNNNNNNNNNNNNNNNNNNNNNNNNNNNNNNNNNNNNNNNNNNNNNNNNNNNNNNNNNNNNNNNNNNNNNNNNNNNNNNNNNNNNNNNNNNNNNNNNNNNNNNNNNNNNNNNNNNNNNNNNNNNNNNNNNNNNNNNNNNNNNNNNNNNNNNNNNNNNNNNNNAGCUGAGCCAUAACAAGAUAAUGCUGCCCUAUUUCAGAAAUAAGCACAGCCCCUAUUCCAACUCCUUUUAUGUUGACAGCCCCGUCAAAGAAAAGUUUCCAACCUGGUUUCUCAAUCUGCUGUAGUUCGUCGAUAUGCAUCACCUCUUCAUUGGGAAAAUAAGUUUUCAAUGGCUCGUACUCAUCAUCGAUCGGGUUUUUGGCCAAAUGAUCGACCAAUGCUUGGGCUUUCAUCGCAGUCCUAGUCACAUAGAUGAUGUCAAACUCUGUGAGCAAAAUCUGCCACUUCGCAAGUCUUCCUGUCGGCAUAGGCUUUUGAAUGAUAUACUUCAACGGAUCCAAGCGCGAAAUAAGGUAAGUAGUGUAGGAUGACAAAUAAUGUUUCAAUUUCUGAGCCACCCAAGUUAGGGCGCAACAUGUCCUUUCCAGGUGAGUGUACUUAACCUCAUAAGAUGUGAACUUCUUUCUAAGAUAGUAGAUGGCCUGUUCCUUUCUGCUGGUGAUGUCAUAUUGCCCCAGUACACAGCCAAAUGAGUUUUUCAGGACUUUCAAGUAAAGAAUCAAAGGUCUCCUUGGUUCUGGCGGGACCAACAUAGGUGGGUUUGACAAGUAUCCUUUUAUAUUAUCCAAUGCUUCUUGACACUCAUCAGUCCACUUGAUCCGCAACAUCCUUCUUCAGCAAUUUGAAAAUAGGCUCACAAGUUGUCGUGAGCUGAGCAAUAAACCUGCUGAUAUAGUUCAACCUCCCUAACAGACUCAUCACUUCAGUCUUGUUCCUUAGGGGUGGCAAUUCUUGGAUAGCUUUGAUCUUUGAUGGGUCCAACUCAAUGCCUCGAUAGCUGACUAUGAAUCCCAACAAUUUUCCGGAUGGAACACCAUAUGCGCACUUGGUAGGGUUUAGUUUGAGGUUGUACCUGCGAAGCCUCUGGAAAAAUUUCCUCAAGUCUCUGACGUGGUCGGCCUGCUGCUUUGACUUUAUGAUUACAUCAUCUAUGUACACCUCAAUCUCCUUGUGUAUCAUAUCAUGGAACACAGUAGUCAUUGCCCUCAUGUAAGUUGCCCCAGCAUUUUUCAAACCAAAUGGCAUUACUCGGUAAUAAUAAGUUCCCCAUGGUGUGAUGAAUGCCGUCUUUCCGCAUCUUCUUCAUCCAUUAAAAUCUGAUGAUACCCUACAUAGAAAUCCACAAAAGAUCCAAUCUCACGCUUGGUGCAAUUAUCGAUCAAAAUGUGGAUGUUGGGUAGUGGGAAAUUAUCCUUUGAACUUGCUUUUUUGAGAUUGCGGUAAUCAACGCAUAUUCUGAUCUUGAUGUCCUUCUUUGGUACUAGCACAACAUUAGCUAACCAAACGGGAUAUCGUGUGACCCGAAUGACCUUUGUAUCCAACUGCUUAGUGAUUUAUUCCUUAAUAUUCACACUCAUAUCAGUUUUGAACUUUCUCAAUUUUUGCUUGACGGGAGGGAAUGUCGGGUCAAUGGGUAACUUGUGGACCACCAAAUCAGUGCUCAAACCUGGCAUGUCAUCGUAUGACCAUGAAAAAAUAUCUUUGUAUUCAAUCAGUACUUUGAUUAUCUCUUCCCUGAUCUUUGGUUCAAGGUGGACGCUUAUUUUAGUCUCUCUGAUAUUAUAUGCGUCCCCUAAAUUGAUGGCUUCUGUAUCAUAUAGGUUGGGUUUGGGUUUUCCUUCAAAGUGAUUUAAUUCCUUACUAAUCUCUUCAAAAACCCCAUCCUCAUCAUAUUCUGAUUCGUCAUCACACUCUACUUCUUGAAUUAUUAUUUCAAAAUCAUAUUGAUGUUUAAGACUGGGCUGAGGAUUCCGCAUGCAUGCCAUGUCAUUAGAACCAGCGUAAAAAGAACUGUAUAGAAAAGAAAAGAAAAACAAAACGGAAAACUAUUAGGAAUGAUGAAGAAAUGGAAAUUGCAUUUCAUUGAAUGAUAAAAGAUAACAAGGUUUGCACACUCAAACAGACUGAAAGAUAAUAAUUUGGAUUACAACCCUGGAAUAACCCAGAUAAACUGAAAGAAAAAUCAAAGCCCACUACCAAAGCUCCUUCCGAGUAGGAAGAGGAGUAGCUUCCCAAUUACUAAUCUUUGCACUUUGCCCAACGAAUUGCACAUCCGCUUGACUUGAUCCUUCUCUAGUUUCCACCAUGUUAACAUCACUGAACAACCUCUCGAACCCCUUAGUCAAAUCUCCAUCAACAUCAAUCAAUGAACCGGGAACCGUUGUUGUUGGGUGCUUUCUGGCGCUAGGCCUAAUAAAUGAUCUGGACAGCCGCGGGAUGGGCUUUGGAAGGAACCACGCCUUUUGCCUCAACUUUAUGGAUCUUCUUACAUCCGUAGCUAUAGGCUUAAACCCCAGAACAAAGGUAUCUAGGUUUUUGGGCAGAGAUACUGGUUGUACGAUGCCCUGCAACGAAGCACCCAAACCCUUGCUAGGUACAAAGCCAUUCUUCAACAUCUCAGAUGCCACCAUGACUGACACAGUUGUUACUUUAGGAACUAGAAUGCUUUUCCCCUCUGGGAUCUUUUCAAUUGAUACUGCAUCAAAGACCUGAUAUACCCAUAGCCCUUUGUCAUAUUCAACUUCAAUGAAAGGUAUGAUGGCAUCACUUUGGGCACACAUAUUAUCCUCACCGUGCACCACAAUUUCUUGUCUGUCCCAUUCAAAUUUAACCAUCUGAUGCAAAGUAGACGUCACUGCCUUGGCAGUAUGAAUCCAGGGUCGCCCCAGCAAAAGAUUGUAAGAAACUGCCAUGUCCAACACUUCGAAUUCCAUAGUGAACUCCACAGGACCUAUUGUCAGUUCCAGUAUUAUAUCACCUACUGAAUCUUUGCCCCCGCCGUUAAACUCCCGAACACAAAUGCUAUUCUUGUGAUUCUAUCAUUGCCCACUUUCAGCUUGUUCAAUGUGGAGAGAGGGAAAAUAUUCGCACUAGACCUAUUAUCGACCAGAACUCUGCUAACCAUAGAAUCUUUGCACUUUACCGUCAGAUAAAGGGCCCUAUUAUGCUCAGUACCCUUCACGUGCAACUCAUCAUCGGAGAAAGUAACUCUAUUUGCUUCGAAGAUUUUGUUGGCUAUUUUCUCCAAAUAAUUCACGGAGAUCUUAUCGGGAACGUUCACUUCAUUCAAGAUUUUCAUUAAAGCUUGACGGUGCUCAUCCGAGUGGAUUGGUAAUGACAAUAGCAAAAUUUGAGCAGGCGUCUUUCUUAAUUGUUCCACAAUAGAGUAGUCCUGUAGCUUCAUCUUCCUCAAGAAUUCUUCUGCUUCUCCCUCAGUUACGGCCUUUUUUACCAGUGCCGGAUUAUCUUUUGUUCUUCUUAACUCCUCGAGAGUAAAACACCUUCCCGAGCGAGUCAAACCUUGGGCUUCACAGACUUCUUCUUUGACCUCCUUCACUUUGUACAUCAUUGUUACUCGUUUGUAAUUCCAUGGAAUAGCCUUGCUGUUGAUUAUUGGUAACUAGGUUACCAGCUUAAUAAUAACCCGAUCUAUGCGGGCACCUUCCACGAUUAUGACGGGUUGGCUGACCGCUCCUGGUACAAUCACCUUUAUCCCUUCCUGUUUCAUUUCAAUCUUUCUCGAAGACCUUUUUUCAACUUCCAAAGAUGGCUCAACACUCUUUUUGCUCGAUUUGAGCACCAACUUCUCACCUGCUGAUUGUUCAACUGUCUUAGACCGAAUCAUCAUGACGGUCUGUGACGAUUUCCUGGGCUUUCCCUCCGCAUCCACUAUUUCAAUCCUAUUUGCCUCCUGGUGAGCUGGCAUUGGAUUCCUGUUAAUAUUGGGUGCCUCAGGACUUGAACUUCAAUUCUAUUGGUAUCAAUAAUCUCCUGUAUCGCACUUUUCAAGUGCCAGCACUUCUCUGUAUCAUGACCCGGAGUACCAGAACAAUACUCACAGCUGACAGUAUAGUCAAGAUUCUUUGGAGGAGGAUUUGGCAGUUUGGACUAUAUCGGCCUCAGCAUAUCCAGCUGUCUUAGCUUGUGGAACAAACUAGUGUAUGACUCUCCAACGGAGUAAAGGUUUUCUUUUUCCGCAACCUUUCACCCUUGAAUGCUUGACUAGGCUGGAAACUUGGUUCUUGUGGAUGUGGAUAAGUAUUUUGUGGAGCGGGAGCAUGCCAUUGCGUGUGGGCAGGAGGUUGGUUGUAUGCUUGUGCAUGGUGGACGGAAAAAUGAGGUUCUGGUNNNNNNNNNNNNNNNNNNNNNNNNNNNNNNNNNNNNNNNNNNNNNNNNNNNNNNNNNNNNNNNNNNNNNNNNNNNNNNNNNNNNNNNNNNNNNNNNNNNNNNNNNNNNNNNNNNNNNNNNNNNNNNNNNNNNNNNNNNNNNNNNNNNNNNNNNNNNNNNNNNNNNNNNNNNNNNNNNNNNNNNNNNNNNNNNNNNNNNNNNNNNNNNNNNNNNNNNNNNNNNNNNNNNNNNNNNNNNNNNNNNNNNNNNNNNNNNNNNNNNNNNNNNNNNNNNNNNNNNNNNNNNNNNNNNNNNNNNNNNNNNNNNNNNNNNNNNNNNNNNNNNNNNNNNNNNNNNNNNNNNNNNNNNNNNNNNNNNNNNNNNNNNNNNNNNNNNNNNNNNNNNNNNNNNNNNNNNNNNNNNNNNNNNNNNNNNNNNNNNNNNNNNNNNNNNNNNNNNNNNNNNNNNNNNNNNNNNNUCAAGUAGGCUACUGGAUCACCGUGCUCGUUGUAUAGAUCAAACUUGGGCAUCUUGAAGCCUGUCGGCAAUUGCACAUUCGGAAACAGAUGUAGGUCCUUGUAGGCCACACCUACUUGUCCUCCCAAUCCCCAUAUGUCCCUGAAUGAUUAUUCUAAGCUUUUGACUUUCCUGAACAUCUCUUCCUGUUCAAGAUUUUUGGAUGGUUUAUCAGCAUCUAUCGGGAAGUCAAAAUGAGGAGCAUAGGAAUGGGUUUCUAGAGCUUUGAAAGUGGGCUCCAAGGGGUAGUAGUGGUUGUCCUGUGCCUGGAACAUUGGCUUGCUAGGAGAUUUGUGAAGUGUAACUAUUGGAGGUGCUACGAAGACAGGAGUUACUAGUGGAUGAGGGUAUGGGGAUGGAGACUGUGGCAUAUGAGAAGUGGUGCCCCGGUAGAGUUAGUAAAUGGGAAAGCUCGGGGAUAGAUCGGUGGCAAGAUGAUCCUGAGGUUGAGCCGGUGGUGGAGUGAAGGUACGUUUAGCCGGGUAAGCUGAUGGCGGUUGUCCUUUAGCCCAGGCCUUACAUUUCGGCCAUUUGUUGUUUCAAUUUGUACAUCUCUUCUUUCAUGGUAUUGACAUCCAACUAUUCCCCGUCUCUCGAAGGAUCGAUGACACUAGUGUCUACAUCUGGGAUAGACAUGAUUAUUUCACCUUUGGAUCUGGUUUGGUAUGGGUGGGUUGCCAGUAUGCUUAGAUGAACUAAGUGCUUGGAUUCUGGUAACAACAACAAAACUUGUUAGUGAUUAGAGUUUUAACAAAUAGGCAACCGCACAUAGUCAUUUCUAUCAUGUAUUUGCUAGGUUGCUUGUGUCAUCCCGUCUUUUUCUUUUUAUGACCUUUCCCUUUUAUUAUUACUCACGCCUAACUUUUAUUCCCCUCUUUUCUUUUUCCGUUGUAUUCUUUUUCUUUUGGUUGUGGUCGAAUCCUGUGGAGAUUGCCUACGUAUCAUGACCCCGUAUGAAUCAGACCGAGCGUAGUUCUGGCAUAAUAAAGUGUAAUAAUGAAUAACAAAAUAUUUUGGGAUUUUCAAUUCUUCUCAUAAAAAGGAAAUUCUUUGAAUUACAACGAUUCAAAGCUAAAAGACUCAAAAAGGAAAAUAACAGACUGAAAAAGAAAAAGAAAGGUACAGACUAAAAAAAAUCAAGAAUACAUUAAUGCUCAUGGUGCCCGCAGGACAUCAUUCGGUCUCGCCGUGGGCCUAAAUGCGAGAUCCCCUUGCAGUCGCUCCAAAUCACUUAUAACUUGGCGGACGAAAGUCAUCACUGCAGCGAAAAAGGUGGUACGAGUCAUGUCCUCGCACGCUUGGCACUUCAUGGUAAUGUAGUCAGCGAUGGUCCUGAUCUUUUCUCUAAUUCUCCCUUUUUCCUGAAGCAACCGCCCUAUCUGCUGAUUCCGGGCUUCUAACACUUGAGAGUAAUGAACGUGUUGAUUUUGCAACUGCUGUAUUCCUUCCUCUAUCUGAACCAUCAGAUCAUAACAGUGCUCCCUAUCAGCUUUGAAAUCUUUAGCCUGCUUGACUGCCUCAUUCUCGAGAGUGGCUAUCUUUCUUCUUAGGAUAGUGAUGGUCCCUUCAUCGUUCCUCUUCAUUUGUUGCACAAACCGUGCCCGCUCUUCUGCCUUCUUUGUCCAUUUUGCCCGGAUUUUUGCUAGACCAGCUUUAGAUUUUUCCAGGUCUUCUUGACACUCGAGGGCUUUCUCUUUCAGACCGCUUAUGUGUCUUUUAUUAGCCCGACUUCUUUCCGAGUUUUUGGCAGCUAUUUUCAUCUUCUGGAUCUGAGCUUUGAGGGCCUCAUUUUCCUGAGCUAGUUUUUUCUUUUCUCCCUUAUCUGCAGCAGCUUGAACACCAUUUUCAAACUGAAGCUCCAUGACUCGCCUUUCCAACUGGCUUAUUUUGGCCCUGUACUCGUUUUUUUUGGUCAGCCAGUCCCAUUGCACCUGUGCCCCAUCGGUGAAUUGUUGGACAUGGGGUCUCUUUGCAGGCCUCUCGGGGAUCUAGAAUCUUUUGUAGAACCAGACAAUGUACUUAGGGUCCACUUCACCUCUAGCUAAAUCUCGCAUCAUGGUCUUAGGUUCAAGAAACCUACAUUCAUUCCAUAUCCGACGAAUUUUCCCUUCUAGAAAUGCGGCUUUUGGGCCUAGUUCAAUGGCAUAUUUACUCAAAUCUUCAUCACUGGGAACAGUUUGAAAUCUUCCUAAUUGGCACAGAACCCUGAAGGGAGCAUAAGGCGGGAUGCUCCGGAUGCCCAUUAAGAGGAUAUAACAUACUUCAGCUGACAUGUACACUACUUCGGUGACAGGAAGUCAUCCUAAUGCCCACUCAAUUUUAUCAGCAGUCAAGGAUCUCAAAUGUUUAACCCAAGCUUUAGUGCCUUCGGGGAAUUCAAUACCUGCCACUCGGCUUCCGAAUUCUUCAAUGCAGCUCAAACCGGUCAAACCGUAAUUCAUAUACCCAACCCGGUGGCAGAGAUGCUCUUGCAUCCAUAAUUGUAGCAACAGAUUGUCGCCUUGGAAGAACUUUCCCCCUUCCCGACAGAUAGUCAAGGCUCGGUAGAUUUCAGAUAAGAUUAGAGGAACCACAAUGUUGUUGGCUUUCUUGAUUGCAACAUCGAUCAUUCCCACAAAACCUAUCUCUAUAUUACCAUCUUUUCGCGGACAAACCACAACAUCCAAGAAGGUUACCAUAAAAGCUAAACCUCGCCUUGCCUUCCAUUUGUCUUUACGUCCGGCAUAGAUUAGACCAGUGUUCGGUUCUUCAAAACCUCGGGGGUUGCCAUAUCGAUGAUACAGGAACUGGAGCGUGCAAUACCCUUCAGAUAAGUUUCUGUCCUGAAUAUCUCGACUAAUACUCAGCAAAUCCAAAAAUCUGUGGGGGGAUACCGGUCUUGGUGCUAAUGGAUAUCGACUUCUAAGGUUUCCGUUAAGGCCCGCAUAACCCACAACUUCUUCCAAUGUAGGUGUAAGCUCAAAGUCAGAAAAGCGGAACACAUUGCGAGUCGGGUCCCAAAAAGGUACUAAAGCUUCAAAUAUGUCCAACCUUGGCUUGACAUUCAAUAGUCCGACGAGGCCUCCCAGAACUUUUACCAUUGUUUCUCUAUCUCCUUUUCCUAGAUCAUUCCACCACAUGUGGAGCUUUAAGGGGAUCUCAUUAAGGACUGUGAAGGGUUCAAUUUCGUUUAUGCUCAUCCUGCACAUUUAUUAAGGUGAUUAUUUUGACCCAAAAAGAAAAAGUAACACCAUUUUUCAAAAAAAAAAUUUAUUUCAAAAACAAACUCGGCUUCGCAAAUACGGCAUUUCAGCACUUCGGGGAAAAAGAUUUUAAGGCUGUGCCUGCUAAAUGUUAAAAAUGACCCAAGGUGGCUGCUCUUGCAAAAACAGCCUUCCGGCGCCCUUUUGGGGACAUUCCGCUUAUUUUAAACAAGAAUGGCAUCACCCGACUUAUUUGUGACACUAAAUUAAAAUUUUGUAUUUUGGCUAUUCUUGCAAAAGGGAAAGUUGGACCCGAUGAAGGUUGCCUACGUAUCCCACAUCCGGUGAGAAUCAAACUGGCGUAAUUCAGGACUAAAUAAAACUUAUUUUUGUAAAAUAAAACUCUUUUUUUUUCAUUUCAUUUUUCUCAAAAAAAAAUUCGGCUGAGUUUCAGUACUAUUUGGACAUUGAAUUUUUCAAAACAGGUGGUUUACUCACUCAACCCUUAUACCGCUAUUUUCCUUUCCAAUUUUUCUCUCAUCUUUCAAAAGUCGGUCAGCAUGCGAACCCAAAGCAAAUAAAUGCACAAGUAGUACGUGAAAUAUGCAUCAGUAUGGUCUUUGAUUAUGGGUACACCUGUCCUAGAUGGACCCAACCCCUGUGUUGAGUCCCCUAAGUCAAAUGCACAUGAUACAAUCAAAUUUUCCUACUAGGGAUCCGUCAUGAGGCUGAGUUAUUCUAGGUUUAAAACCUGGGUUUAUUGUUCUAGACUUGGCUUACCCGAGCAGACAACUCGAGCCGAGAAGGGGGACGCGUACCGAGAAUACAGAAGCUUCCUCGGCUUUGCAACUUGUCCGAAGCUCAUUCUAAAAUGGGAUAAGACUCGAGACAAAAGAGAAGCCACACGAAGUGUACCCUUAUCCAUGAUUUAGAAGACUCAAAAAGAGGGAGGAUUUUGUAGCAGUUUAUAUAUACAGUUCAACCAUAUCAAAGGGGUAAAAGCAACAUUUAGCAUAUUAAGUCCACAAACUACAGUAAUAUCAACAAGAAAGGCAAAUAAAAAUUGCAUUAACAAGCUUGAAUUCAUGAACCCUGAACCGGAAGUUCUGGGUUCUUAUCCCCAGCAGAGUCGCCAGAGCUGUCACACCUCCUUUUUUCUACCCACCUGUAAGGGAUAUAAGGGAGUUUUUCUAAUUAAAGGACAAUCGAAAUGGUAUUGUUUAUUAAGAGAUUCAGAGUCGCCACUUGGAAUAAUUUAUGGCAUCCCAAGUCACCGGUUUAAAUCCCGAAUCGAGGAAAGAUUGACUCUGUCUAACAGUCCGUGAACCAGAAAUCCGGGUAAGGAAUUCUGUUAACCCAGGAGAAGGUGUUAGGCAUUCCCGAGUUCCAUGAUUCUAUCACAGUCGCUCAACUGUUAUAUUCGGCUUAAUUAUCUUAUUUUAAAAUAUUUUUGAACCUAUGUGCAAAUUUUAACUUUUAACCACUUUUAUUCAUUUUAAAGAAGAUUUAACGUCGUUUAAAACAUGUCUUUGGAUCGCGCCACAUGAAAUGUACACGCAAUCGGAAACACAUUUUAUUCAACGUUGCGAGAUUUAGAGUUUGGUCACAUGAAAUGCACACCCUAGUUUAGGAAGGUAAUAUUAUUGAAUAUACGCGCCUAGAGCAACUACGCGUUUUUAACUUUGCAAGGGCCAUGAAAAUUUGCUAAAUGGCACGCCUCGAAUUCUAAGUAUUUUAAAAGAAAUAAUUAAGCGAGGACCACGCAUUUGAGAUUUUAUGUGUGGCAUGGCGCACCUCAAUUUAUUCUAAUUAGAGCGUUGCUAAACUAAUGCAUGAGGACCAUAAGUUGUUAUUAGUUUUGAAUGGCACACCUCCAUUAUUUUACAAGGAGUUAACUAAAUUAAACCACAUGGAACAAUUAUAAUUAUGAGUGCAAAAAUUUCAAACUCAAUGCUUAGAACUCGUAUGUUAACAAUUUGUGACAGCAGAUUGAAUUCAUAAAACCAAACCCAAGUGGGUUAUGGACUCAUAACCUACCUAAAUGUCAAUAAGCAAGAAAACCAAAAUAGACUUAAACGUAAAGCCCCGAAACUGCAAUGUACCCAGUAGAGGAAGUUCGACAAAACUGGGCCAAUGUUGUAGCCCAGUCCGAAACUGUGAGCAUUAGUUGCUACAAGAGAUCCAUGUUGAAAAAUGCAAAUUUAACAACCUAACUAUUACCAAUUUAUAGCCUAUUUCAUCAUUUUAAACCAAAAUAAGUUUCCGAUAUGUUCCCUCCAACUGCUGGAUUCAUACUAACAGACCAAAAUUCAGAUUCACAUUCCAUUCACGAUUUUAUUAAACUUCCAAGAUUGCUUAUGCGUAAAAAAAAUAGCAGGCUUACGUGAGAAAACCAAAACAUUGGACUAUACUUCAAAUCAUUUGCAAGAAAAUCUAAAGGAAUGAUUAAGAGGGAGAUAACAUUAAACGAAACUGCUGAGCCCAUAACACAAGCAAACCAAACUAGUAGCGUCCCAUUAUAUAUGUUAGGCUAGAAUGAAAUUUUGAAUAAGUCAUAGUCAAAGGAGACCUCAGCUCCAGCCUUAGAACAACAGAUGAUACCCAACGACUACAUCUAAGAAGCUAAACUAUAAUGGACACUAAACUAAAGCACGGUAAGGUCACAUAGCUAAGAAAUAACAAGGAAUUAGCACUUUGACAAUUUCUUCAACUUGAAUUAAAUAACUCGAACCAGAGCUUAGCUAAAACUUCAUUUCCAUUCAUGGUGUGAAGAAAGUAACUGGAUACAGCAAUCAAAACAGAAGGAAAGGAAAUGGUUAAGGCUCAGAACUACAGUCUACAACAACAAUGCAACAAUGAAACCCAAUUGCAAACCAAGGUGAUGCACAAUAUCCCAAAACCAGCUUCAAUUGAACAGAGACCCAGCAAAACUCAAAACCAAACUUUUACAAACCCAGAAUCAAUCCAUUUUUAAACACCCAAGUGAAUCAGAAGUUGCAUCAGAAAUUGAAAAUCUUAAGAAUCACCAAAAAAAUCAAUAGAACAAUGAUUUCAUCUAGUUUUAGCCGUCUGUUAUUUUUUCAGAAUUCUCUAUCUCUAAUAUCUCAAAAAUCAAACAAUUUCAGCCCCCAAAUAAAUCAAUAUGCAUUUCAGAAGUUGAUAAUCUAAGAAAUCACAAAGAAGCACUCAAUGAAAAAGUGAAAUUUUUGUGGAAUUCUUAGCUGUUUCAGAAAUUUCUAUUCUCCCCCGCUGUCCAUAAUUUUCAUCCUUUAAAUAGGCAUUCAAUUAGUGUCAUUCCCAUUAUCAAAUCACCUUUUCCAUUCUUAAUUAUCCACUUAACUUAAUACUUUUUACUUUAAUCAGUAGUGCAUUUUCAAACCCUACCAUUUAUUAGAAGCUUCCUAAAUUAGGUGAGAUUCACUUCAAACUACCCCUACAUUACCCCUUAAACUUCCGUUAAUUACUUUCAAGAAACCAGAUGGAUAUGGGUCAAUCUUGACCCAAAACCUAUCAGGCCUUUAAUGUGGGAUCAAGAAUAGCAUGAGGCCCAAACAAUCAAACUGAUCCAGGCCAAAUUCAGUGCUUUUACAAAAAGCAGAAGAAAACAAUCAUUUGAAGGGUUCGUAAACUAUGUCUAUUAGACUGAUUAACAACAUACAAACAUGAACUAAAAUCAAACGGACAAUUAACAAUUUCAAAUAAAACCUAAUUCACAUCUUAACUAAGUUUUUCAAAGACAAAGAAGAGAAGAAGAAGACACAGAGGUGGAAUAGGCAUUAAAAUAAAAAGAAAUGAUACCGGGAAACUCACCGACUAAGAUGGAAAUCAACUUGGUGUCCUGACUUUCCAAUUUCACCGCCAAAUAAUGUUAGUCACUUGUUCUUUGUCAAAACAAGUGAGUAACAUUAUUUUGUGACAAAACCAGCUCUAAAACUGGAACCAUCAUCAUCAACCUCGAGUUUUAGGUUUGGCUCUUGGAACCCAGAUUUGGGAUUUAAGAUUCGAUUGGUUUAGAACGGAUUUGAGGGAAAAUACUUAGAAAUUAGGGAGGAGGGAGGUAUGGGGAUUCCCUAGUGUUAAUUUGGGAUUGAUUGGAAGUGGCGCCGCCACCGGAGAAUAUUAGGGCGGUGCUAGGGUUCAUCCCUUUAAAUCGAUAUUCAAGAGCUCCAAGGAUGUUCGAAAGAAAUGAAGUAGGGGUUUGUAAAGGGGAGGGUGAGAGGAGUCUAUGGUGUAUUUUUGGGGGUGAUUGGGCACCGUCCGCCGCCGUGGACAAUUUCCGGCGGGCAGAAAGCGGCGGAGUGAGGCGAUGAUUUAUUAGUCUCUGAAGAGAGAUGAGUGAGAGGGGGGGAGGGGGUUCUGAGGGUAGGGUCUAAUGGGUUAGGGUAUACUAAAGGGGUAAUUAAAUUAGGGCCGUUGGAUGAUGAGAAUCCAACGGCCAUGAUUGAUCUUUUAACGAAACAGGGUUGUUUGGUGUAGCAACUAGGGCGGACUGGGCAUUGGGUGGACGGGUCGGGUUGGGUAUUGGGUGAAAGCUUUUGGACCGUUCGAUCAAAUUAAUUCAAAUGCCCAAAUUGAGACGCCUGGAACGACGUCAUUUGGUUUGAAGCUGGAGACGUACCGGGUUGGGGAAAAGUCUGGGCUGGUUUUUGGGGUGGGUUUUAGGUGUAUUUGUUCUAUUUUGUUUUGGGCUAGGGAUUUUUGGCCCAAUUCUAUUUUACACUCUUCUAUUUAAUUCUUUUCCUCUUCUAUUUAUUUCCCAAACUAUUUUUUCAAAAUAAAAAAUAAAAUCCUAAAUUAAAUUAUAAACCCAAAUUAGCUUUAAACAUAUUAAUUAACUCUAAAUAAUAAUUAUCAUAAAUAAUCAAAAUACUAAAUUAAAAGAAAUCAAAAAAUACAAAAAAAUAUGUUAUUUUUGUGAAGUUUUUCAUUUUUGUAAAAUACCUAAUUAUUAAUUAAUUCCAAAAUGUCAAACUAAAUCCUAAAUGCAAUUACAAUAUAUAUUUUUUGUAUUUUUCAUUACUAAAUAAAAUAAACAGGCACAAACAAUAUUCACACAACAACAGAAAAUGCCACUAAAAUCCACAAAAAUCGCAAAUAAUGAAAAAAUUAUUUUGUUUUGAAUUUUCUGGGAGUAAUUCGUAUAGGGCAAAAAUCACGUUCUCACAUUAGGUGUGGAAAUUCUGGUAUUCGUGAGGCUCAGAGACUGAAUGUUCUUGUUGGCAGACUAUCCCUUGAUUGCGAGUUGUGAGGGAAUGGAGAAGAUUGGAUGAUUAAUGGUAGGUAUUAUGGAAAGGUUGCUAUAGAAUUCUGGAAGGUUUAUUGCAUGUUCGAGGAAGAUCGAAAUUUGGUUUGGGGAUUACUAAUGAGAGUGUGUAUUUUGUAUCAGAUCAGACCUAUUUGUUUUGUGCAGUUGUUGCCAUGUGUAUAUCAUCAGGUGGAAUGGAUGUCAUUCACGCCUUGGUUUAUGUUAUAUGUUUCUCUCUUAUACUAUGGGGGGAUUGUGAGGAUAUAAUGAUUCUUUGCACGCAUACUGUGAUUCAGUUUAGACUUCAUGGCACUAUGGGCGAGGUGGCCUAUGUGAUGUUGAUUUGCUUAUUGCACCAUAGUUGUGCUUGUCCUUCUCAGUAUUGUUUGUUCCUAAUAAUUUUUCCCAUAAUUAUAUUUUUGUGCACUCUAUUGUGCUUGAUGUUGACGCACAUGUGAUCAGUGAGCCCGGGUAUAAUGGCAUGAAGGGUACCUUAUGUGGAUUGAUAUGAUGAGAUCGGGUUGCACGCCGCAACAGUACAAUGAUGAAAAGUGACUCCUUAUUUUUAUUUCGUGUAUUUUGCUUUCAUCUUGUUGAGGAUAGUGAUGAUACCCAGUUUUUCCCUCAUAUAUUUUAACAUGCAUAUAUAUUUUCAAAAAUAGUGCACAUGCAUUUACAGACAUGCAAAAGGAUUUCUAUAUUUUUUCCAUAAUUUUAAAGGCUUUCAACCAAUUUAUUUCUGCAUUUUUACAAUACAAAUAUUCAAUAAUUAUACCUCAUAUUAUUUUUAUGAUGAUUUAGCCAUUUAAAUACAUCAUUUUUGUCCAUAUAGUGUUUAAAUAUUUUAAUUGCAUUUUUUAAGGCUAGAGUUACACAUUUUUGCAAUAAUAGCCUAUAUAUAUGCAUAAUUAUAUUAUUUACAUGGAAAAUGACUUUUUAUAUUUUUAUAAUAUUAAGUAAUUAUUUUGAAUCAUUUACAUGCACAGAUGAUAUUUUUAGCAUUUAUAAAUCAUUUUAUAAAAUUAUUUUACUAAAUUAAAUGGGUAUUUAAAACAUAGCUUUUUUUUUUCAAAAUUUCGGACCUAGCCCAAAACUACCCUAGCCCACUUAAAUAUAACCCAUAACGCAAUCUCCAAAUAACCCAUCCCAACCCAGAUGGAAUCCUAGCCGUUGAUAUCAAAAGAUCAACGGUUCAGGAUCCAUUUCCUUUUUUAUUAACCAAACGACCCCCCAAGCCCUACCCAUUUUCUCAAACACCGCUGCUCCUGAAUUCCUACCUCCUAUCUUCUCUCUCAACCUCUCCCAAACCUUAGCCUACCAUCACCUGAACCCCUUCAAUCCAUGGGGGUUCUCUUCGAUCUUAGGCCCUAUCCGGCCUCUUAUCUCUAAUGGUUGUUCAAUCUCUUUGUUAUUUGAUGGAAUCUUAAAGGGAUUCGAACAAAUUUGGUUCAAAUUCCUCAAUCUUCGGAUGAAUCUGUCUGUAUUCACCAUUUGUUUGUGAGUAUUGUCACUUUUGUAUUUUCGUUGCUUCAAAUCUCCUUAGCUGGUAUGCCUCCAUUUGUGUUAUCAUGUCCUCUUCUAUAUGCUAUGUAGUUAGACUUCAACAUGAUUCUGUUUUCCCUAUGUCUUCCUGUUUACUACUCUCUUAACUAAUAUGCCUCAAUUUUUAUUACCAUGCUCUAUUCUAUAUGCUAUAUAGUCAGUUCACAAUAGACAUCAACAUGUCUCUGUUUCAUGUUUGUUUCUCUCUGAACUAGCAUACCUCAAUUCCUGUUAACCUACCCUAUUCUAUAUGCUAGUAUGGAUAGUUUACCUUAACAUGUUUCUGUUUGAUCCAUGAUUUCUGUGUACUUCUUUCUAGACUAGUAUGCUUUAAUUUCCUACUAUCCUGCUCUAUGUGUUCGUUUGUUUGGUUAUCUUAACUUCAGCAUGCUUCUGUUCAAUAUAUGUCUACAUGUUUCCAUAUAGUGGUAAUUAAUAAGCCAAAUCAACCUCAGACAUUUGAAACCUUGUUGAUUCAAUUGUAUGCCUCUAUGAUACUGCAAAUAUGUAUAGUCAGUUCUAUUUGUAACUCAAGUGCCCAUGCUCUUUUGUGAUUGCUUUAGUUGACGCAGUAUUCAUACCAAUCUGUUUGGAUUCUGCUUGUCUAUGUAGAAUUCUAUUUCUGUUUGCUCCUGAAGAAAGACUGUUUUCUAAAAAACUAUCCCCUACCCCUUGCAUGUACUACCCUUUCAAAUUUUCACUCUUAGCUACCUAGGUUCCUACUACCUCCAAUGUGAGCACUGCCUACAGUCCCUAAGACUCCUUUGAACUCUGACACAUUGGAGAUGGAUUCCAAUCUCUUAUGAAUCCUGUGUUGAAUGUAUGGGUCCAGUGUGAGCAUUGCCCAGGAUCCUUGAGGCUCUUUGGGAACUUUGACAUACUGGAAGCAUGACUUAAGGUGUUAUGGAUCCUGCCACCUAUGUAUGUAUAUCAGACUUGCUUGCUUGAAGGCAUGGUUUCCAGGAUUGAUGUUGGGCCUUCCAAGGCUCCCUAUAGUGCAAUGAAUAACUUUGUGUAGUUCAUUCAUAUUGGUGUAUAAUAAUAAUCUUCGUAAAAAUGGAUUUUGGGGUUAUUAGUAAAUGGGGGGUCUAUUCUUACGUCUCUGUUGAAAUUGGGUAGGAAUCCUGCCUAUAGUACUUGAUUAUGCUGAUUGCAUUAUGUGAUAUUUAGAGAUCCUGCCUAUAGGAUUUUUUGAUUGUUUGACACUAUGCUGCACAUCUGCAUGUUAGAAAUCCUGCACAGUAGAAAUCCUUUUUAUAGGAUCUACACGUAUUUUCAAUUCAAUACACAGUAAUGACCAUGUCUAUAGGAUCUUGUCUGUUUGAAUAACCAUUUUCCCGGCAAUGUGCUUAAAGAAUUCUGCCUACGCAUGAGUAAUAGAGAUCCUGCCUAUAGGAACUAAAGUCACCUAGAUACCAUGCCUAUAGGAAAUAAGAUAAUCAAUUCUGCAUAUAGUUAUCAUGCCUUAGGAAAUAUCAGUUUUGCGCUUAGAUAUCAUGCCUAUAGUAAAUAAGCAUAAAAACACUUUCAACACUUAGAUAUCAUGCCUAUAGGAAAUACAUAUAAAAUUAGGUCUUGACACUUAGACGUCAUGACUAUAGGAAGUAAGUGUAAAAAACCAGUGUCUGUGUUUAGGUAUCAUGUCUAUAAGAAAUAAUGCUAUAAGCAGUUUCAACACUUAGAAAGCAUGCCUGUAGGAUUUAAAGAUAAAAAUCUGCCUAUUAAAAUCAACAAUUGGUUUGUAGCUUAGAUGUCGUGCUACAGGGUUCCGCCCGAUUAUCACUUAGGCUGGCCUAUAGGUUAAUUAAAAUUCUGGGUCUAAAACUGUGAUUGCUUGUUUGAAAUAUGCCCGGAAUCAGAGUAUUAACCAUAUUAGCAGGUAAACCGAUAGGUACUCGUCUACUCGCUUUAAGAUUGUUGUAUAUUCUAUUUUUGUGCUCAUUUAGACAUCCUGCGUAUAGGAUCCUAAAAUCAUUUAAAAUUGCUUAAUUGAACAACGUGCAUUUGUUUGUCUAUUUGUGGAGGUUAACAUGAUCCCACUUAAUUGCUUCUUAUGUGACAGUCCUACUUGCCUUUUUCUUGUCGCUGAGUUUUCUCCUUUUAAAAAACAUAGGUAAGUCUAGAACCGCCUUAAAUAGAGGCCCUAAACACUUCCAGGGUCAGAGGUAAGGGACGUGUAGUGCAUGCAUAAGGUACAUACUGGAUGCUAUUAUAACACUUAGGUAAUAAUUUAAAAGGGGAGGGUAAUUGGGUAGUAAAAGAAAAUGAUGACCUGUGCGCUAAUGCUAUGAGUAGCACCCCAACUUGGGGACGUUUGCCAAGUAUUGCACAGAAGUGAUACUAUAGGCUAAAAAACCUAGGACCCCCUUUUACUCCUUGUUUUAAAAGUAAUAUCUAUUUGUUUAAAUUGCUGUAUUUCCUUGUAAGACUAAUUCGCUUAAAUUGAGUUUGGCCGGGACCCACCGUUGUGGACCUCGAGGGGUGCCUAAACCUUCCCCUCAAGGUAAUUUCGAGACCUUACCCAAUCUCUGGUAACGUGAACUGGUUUCACGAGUUAAUUGUUCUAGGUUCCCUAACGCACCUAAUCCAUUAGGCGGCGACUCUUCAAUUCUCAUAAACAAUUCCCAAAAGGAAAGGAGUUGCCCCGAAAUGUCGAAACUCGGACUCUGCGAGGAAGAAGGGGGCGCGACAGCAUGGCGACUCUGCUGGGGAAAUUUUUAGGCUCUUACCAUAAGAAACUUGUUUUUUGUGAAUUAGUCUUAAGCAUGCUUUAUUUUGUUAAUACAUUUGCACCCUUUCCCCUUUGCCCCUUAUUUGGAUUUAAUUGCCAAUUUUUCAAGCAUUUAUGAUUUUCUUUAUUAUAGAAACUGACUUAUCUCCUUGUUUUCUUUCUUAAACGUCUUUCAAUUAUUAAAUAUCACAUUUAUCAUUAUUUUUAACGCGCAAAUACGUGACAACAUGCUAUUUAUUGUUGCAUAAAUCAUACUCGACAUCAUAUUCCACUCGUGCGUAAUCAAUCCUGUAGCAACACUUGAUGAGUGUUUGCGCCCUUCCCAUAUAUCACCCUUUAAAUUCGGAAAAGCGUAUUUGCGGUAAAACAAAUCGAUCAACGGUGCAGUCGAUGGUUCCGUGCCUUUCCCCCUCAAGUUGUCCAUUUGAGGGUGCCGGUCUAGACCUCUAUAGAAACCUUACUCUGAUUAAUUGAACAUGUAUCAUGGUCAAACCUAGCUGGGUUAAUAUGUUGUCCACAUAAUAACCCUUUAAGACAAGCCUUGUCCAAAUGUACAUUAGGUUUUCUAUAAUCCCAACGAAUGCAACCACGAUUGUGUGCAUUAAUUUUGGAGAAAUAAGUGCCAAUAUGCUAAUCAUUGUUAUAUAAAUAGUCAGAUCUGGGGGGGGGGGGAAGGGCCUAACCAUAUUUGUUUUGCAGAAAAUUAGGCACAAAGUCCCCAAGUUCGGCAUGGUCCAUAACAUACCACCAAUGUUGCUAGAUUGGUGGGAGGAUCUUCCAUUAAGUGAUAAGAAUCAUGUGAAAAGGGUCUUGGAAAGUUUUCCUUCUUUAUUGGACCUCCAGCCAAACAACAUGUUAAUCGAAGCUGCCAUAGUGUUCUAGGACAAAGAAAAAGUCAUGUUUCAGUUUGGAAACAUAGAAAUGACCCCUCUCUUGGAAGAAAUAGGGGGAUUCGCUGGGCUACCUUGGGAUAGUCCUAGUUUAUUGGUGCUGAAAAAUCGCACUACUAGGGGGUUUCUGAAGAUGAUGGGAUUAAAGAAGUGAUGACUUGGAGUGCUUGAAAAAUUCCUACAUACCCUCCGACUUCCUCUAUGAACGAUACGGUCACAACAGAGCUUAUUGUAUUUUUGAUGACGAAUUCUCCAUCACUUCCUUGGGUUGGAUUCAUCGUAGAGUUUGUGUUCAUCGUCUGUUUCUUGGGUAUGUUAGUGUUCCCGAUCUAAGGGGACAUAAUCCACACCAGACUGGCCACAUAGCCAAAAAAAUGAUGGAUAGGAUCGAGGGGCAGACAUAUAUCAUUGUCCCUAUGAUCAUAGAAGACAUGUACCGGGCCUUAGAGCACUGUCAGAAGGGGUACAAAUACUUCGAAAGUUGUAAUCUGCUGUUACAAGUUUGGUUGUUAGAGCAUCUCCCAAAAGGUCAAUACAGUCAAGAGCUUCCGCGAAGGCCGUGGAAUGACCACAUAGCUUUCCAUCAUCCUAAGAGGAUGACUUAUAUCCCAGAUAGGUUUUCUCAACCCGAAAAUACUAUAGGAUGGGCGCAGUUUUUCAGCAAUUUGACUGAGGAUCAGGUUCAAUGGAUGUUCGAAUGGUUCCCUACCGAUGAGUUCAUCAUUAGAUCUAGGGGGUUGAGGGACAUAUACCCUUAUGCUCCCAUCUGGGUUAUGAGACAGGUAGGCAAGAAGUAGGUCAUACUGCGAGUUGCUAAAAUGAGUCACUACAGGGCAGAUUUUCAGGAUGACGACGUCCCAUACAAAUGUGAAGAUCAGCACAUGUAGCAUUUGAAAAUUAUAGUGGAUAAGGACACCAUCGAGCUAGAUCGAUAUCAUGCUGGUCAUGUGUACUUUUACCCAUCAUGGUUAGAAGAUAACAUAGCAGGAAUAUUCAAGCCAAGGGUUGGUCCAGGAAAUAGAUUCAUAGUUGAAGUUGCCGAGGCACAAGUGAAGUAUAACAAACUGCACAAAAGUGUUAACAAGUCCGAGGCCGAGCAUCUAGAGCGACACAAGACCGAUAUGGAACUAAUUAAUGAAUGGAAGGAGAUGGCUGUUAAAUCAAGCGAAAGGUGGAAUAUCUGGAGUACAGUCUAAUGGAAUUGGAUGGAAAAAUGAGGAAGAGAGUCACCGAUUGCCGGAACGCCGAAGGAAGCCAAUGAGGACAUCUAGCAAGGACAUACCUACUAUCGAUCCUGCGCGAAAUGGGGAAUUUGAUCAACGAAGCCAAAAACAUCUAGCCUGGAGAAGGUCCUUCUGGGACCAAGUAGAUUAGGUUUAUUUGAUUUUUCAAAUGUAAUAAGGACAAAUGCCAUCAGUGACUUAUCUUAUUUAGUGUCGUAUUAGAUUCAUGUAUUUUUACAUAAAUGAAAUGAGUCAAUUAUUGGCACUGAAAUUCUCCGAAUCUAUUUAUCGCUAGGCCUACCUCGGGUACAACGAGGCUCCCAAAUUAGGACGCAGAUUUACAUUCCUGCAAUAUGUAUUUAAAUACUGCAAACAUUUUUUGAAUCAUUACUGAUUAGUUUACCUUUUGUUUUUUUAUUUUUAUUAUUACCAUCCCCUAAGGUUGGUUCGCACAUACUGGCAUCAUCAGCAUAUCACACCAGAUCUAAAGGCCCUCCACGUCCUCUUCCUCCGAGUAAUCCAAAAAGCAGAGGAAAAGAUAAGAUAGAUGAUUUAAGUGGUAUUCGAAAAAAAAAAUGCUGAGAAUAUUAAAACUUCAGACGGUCGGAGUACUCCGGCACAGAAUGAUUUUGUCCUACGAUUAGAGCAGAAAAUACUGAAAUUACAAGGAGAACUUAAGCAGGCCCGCAACUUGGCAAACUUCUCCCUCACUCUGAACGUCCCAAAUGUUAACCAACAAAAUCUUAAAACCCAGCAACUCCUCAAAAUACGCCAAACCAAUGUCCAUAAAAUUCUCCCGCACCCCAUCAAUACGCCACACGACCUCAAAAUCCCAAUCCUCUACCGGUACCAACUCCUCCACAACACCAUAAUCAACCAACCAAGUACCCACAAACCACUACCUAUCACUCUCCUCAGAACACACCACAAACUAUUCCCGAUCCUCAAAACUCGACCAACGACCAUCACUAUACCCAAAUCCAUAGCACCCACCAAAACAACCCCAUAUACGUGGAAACCUUACCUCACUCUACUCAACCAAUCUCCUAUACACCAGAAUCCGCUGAGAAGGACCUGCUCAUCAAGAACAUGGCCGAGGAGCUCAAGAAGUUAACAAGUCGAGUUUAGGGUGUUAAAGGAGGUAAAUGGAUAAAAGUUCUAAACUAUGAGGAUUUAUGCAUACAACCAGAUGUGGAACUGCUGAAGGGUUACAAACCUCCCAAGUUCGAAAUGUUUGAUGGAACGAGUGAUCCCAAGGUUCAUUUGAGAACUUAUUGUGACAAGCUCGUGGGGCUCGGAAAGGAUGAAAGGAUUCAAAUAAGGCUCUUCAUGUGAAGUCUUACCGGAGAGGCCCUGUCCUGGUACAUAAGCCAGAAUCCUAAGAAAUAGGCUAAUUGGGUGAGCAUGGCAUCAGACUUUAUAGACCAGUUCAGGUUAAAUAUGGAGAAUGCACCAGAUGUCUUCUAUAUCCAGAACCUAAAGAAGAAGCCAACUGAGACUUUCCGCGAGUAUGGUACUCGGUGGAGGUCAAAAGUAGCCAAGGUCAAACCAGCAUUAGAAGAGGAACAGAUGAACAAGUUCUUUGUCCGGGCACAUGACCCAAAGUAUUAUGAAAGGCUAAUGGUUAUUGAGAAUCAUAAGUUCUCUAAUAUCAUCAAACUCGGAGAGAGUAUUGAAGAGGGCAUUAAAAGCGGGAUGGUGACAAAUUUUGAGGUACUGCAGUCUAUGAACAAAACAUUGAAAUCAGGUGGCAUAUAAAGAAGAAAGAAGUAGGGGCAGUAAUGGUGGCCCAAGGGCCAAAAUCUCCACUCACAUACUAAACACUUCCACUUACAUACCAACCCUCACCUCCAGAUACUUUCUACGUGCCACCGUGUAUCACACUUAUAACACCUAGCCAGCCUACUAUCAUUCACCUUAAACUCGUCGAAAUUACUAGAAACCCUGACCUAAUUUUGAUCGCAAACCACCCAGACAAUACACCGCCAUUUCUGAACCCAUCGACCAGCUGUAUGAAAGAUUAAAGGCUGCUGGUUAUGUCACCCCUAUUCCCACGGUGGCAAUGGAGAAUUCAUCUCAAUGGGUCAACCCGAAUAAAACCUAUGCAUAUCAUUCCAGUAUGAAGGGGCACACUAUUGACGAGUGCCGGACACUAAAUGAUAAGAUUCAGAUGUUGAUUGAUAACAAGGUCAUAUAGGCGAAGAAAGCUGCACUUCCAGAUCAUAGGGCGAAUGGAUCAAUGUGAUUGAAACUGAUGAGGAGUGGGAUCCUGAGGGAUCAAUUGGACUUAUCAAAGAGGGAGACGAUCCUAAAAAGCCCUCAGUCAUGCUCAAUCCUAUUGUGGUCCAGGUAUAGUUUCCAGUUGAGGUUGAGGUAACCGUAUUGGUUCCAUUUGAGGUAGAAGUAACACCACCUGCAGCCACACCUAUUCCAUUUAAGGUAGAAGUGGCCACACCUUUCACAGUGACAGUAGCAACCACACCUCCUUUCAAGUCCAAAACCAUACCUUGGGGUAACAUUGCGAAGCUAGGUGAAAAGGAAUAGCAAAGAUGGAAGCAUCUGGUGCCGCACAGGAAAUGACCAGAACUGGAAGGAUCUAUACACUCGGAAAUUUGGGAGGACAAAGCAAGGAGGCUGCUACCAAACAACCUGUCAUUGAAACAGGACCGGACGAUCUUUGGAGGAAAGUACAAGCGAGGGAAUAUUCUGUCGUCGAUCAUUUAAACAAGACCCCCGCCUAGAUAACCAUCCUAUUACUAUUGCAAAAUUCAGAGGCUCAUAAGAAUGCUCUGAUGAAGGUGUUGAAUGAAGCUUAUGUGCCCAACAAUAUCACCAGUGGAGAGAUGACCAACAUGGUAGGGCAAAUAAUGGAAAGUCACAAGAUCACCUUCCACGAGGAUGAACUACCGCCUGAAGGGUUAAGUCACCAAAAGGGCACUGCAUAUCACGGUACAGUUUGAUGACAAAUUCAUUUCCAGGGUCCUAAUAGAUGGGGGUUCAAGCCGCAACAUUUGUCCAUUGACUACUCUAAAAAGAUUGGGAAAAGAUUUCCAUGUGUUACGGGCAGGAAGUAUGAACGUGAAAGCAUUUGAUGGGUCUCAAAGGGCCAUGAUUGGAGAGAUUAAACUUUCUCUACGGAUGGGACCAACUUGGUUUGAUGUUGAGUUCCAAGUACUAGACAUAUCAGCUACAUACAAUCCUCUAUUGGGUCGACCCUGGAUACAUGUCGCUGGGGCCGUAGCUUCCACGCUACACCAGGUGGUAAAGUUCGAAUGGAACCAUCGGAGGUAAUCAUUCACGGAGAUGGAAGUAACCCCAUUUAUACCAGUCAAACUAUCCAGGUUAUCGAGAAUAGAAGAAGGCUGGGUGGAAAAACUUAUCACCAUAUUGAACAUGUCAACGCAAUUGAGAAGGACAAGUGGUAGAGUAACAAAAUAGAAAGUAUACUAGCAUGGUCUGGGUAUGAACCCGACAAAGGGCUUGGGAAGGAACUCCAAGGCAUUACCAAACCGAUACAGUUGAAAGGUCACGACACAACUUUCGGGCUGGGAUAUCCAUACACCUGGCAAGAAUAUGAUGAUUGGUCACCUCCAUGGUAUGGUCCUUAUUACCCUCUCGAGCAGCCAGUACCACACCUAAGUCAGACUUUUCACCUGGCCAAUACAAUAUGGGGAUCUGCAGAGGAAGAAGCUUUGGCUAGGUUGAGAAACUUGUUCCUGGAAGACGAGAAUAUGGAUUGCAAUGUGAUAAUUGAGGAGGAGGAGGAAGAAUAAGGCCUCACCAUUCAGACUGUGGAGAAGAGAGCUGUUCUCAAGAAUUGGAUUGCCACACCAUAUACCGGGCCCGCCGAGUCCUUUAGUACCUUGGCAAUUAGGCUAAUUUGUUUUUAUAGCCAUGCUAGGCAUUUAAGAUAUUUUCAAUAAUUUUGUUUUAAGGACGCAUUUUGUUUCUAAAUAAUUACUCGAGUCAUCGAGCCGUACCUAUUUUGGAUAUUUUAAAAUUUAAUUAACGCACUGCUAUUUAUAUUUAUUAUUAUCUUUCACAUUUUUUCUACAACAUUAUUAUUACCUUCUGAUGAACCGAUGACUAUGACAUGUAAUGAGAAAACGCAAUAUAAGGAUAGUGACUCAGAAGAAGAAGAUGAAAUACCUGAGGAAGUUGUCAGAAAAGUUGAGAACUUUGAGAACAAACCUAAGUCCAACCUGGACAAAGCAAUCAAUUUGGGAGACACCGAAACUGUCAAAGAGACUUGCAUAAGCAUUCACUUAUCACCGUUAGAGAAGGAAGAGUACAUUCAUUUCCUGAAGUAAUAUGAGGAUAUCUUUGCAUGGUCAUAUCAUGACAUGAUCGGUCUGAGAACAUCCAUAGUGGUUUAUAAGUUUCCUACCAAUCCAAUGUGUCCGCCUGUGAAGUAGAAACUCAGAAAGUUCAAACUAGACAUGAGUCUGAAAAUCAAGGAGGAUGUCACUAAGCAGAUCAAAGCCAAACUCCUCAGGGGAUUCGAGUACCCAACCUGGUUAGCCAAGAUUGUACCUGUUCUGAAGAAAGAUGGGAAAGUCAGAGUGUGUGUCUUUACAAAGCAAGUCCUAAGGACAAUUUCCCACUGCCAAACAUACACAUCAUGUUCGACAAUUGCGCUAAGCAUGAAUUCCAAUCCUUUGUGGAUUGCUUCGCGGGUUAUCACUAGAUCUGAUGGAUGAAGAAGACGCAGAGAAAACAAUUUUCAUUACACCGUAGAGAGUGUACUGCUACAAAAUAAUGUCUUUAGNNNNNNNNNNNNNNNNNNNNNNNNNAUCAAAUCCAAGAAGGCCGCAGAUCAUAUAGAAAACUUGAGAAAGUUCUUUGACAGGCUAAGGAGAUACAACCUAAAAUUGAACCCCGCAAAAUGUGGGUUCUUACAGAAAAGCUAUUUGGAUUCAUUGUCAACCGCCGAGGAAUCGAGUUGGACCAGUCCAAAGUUAAGGCUAUCCAAGAAUUACCACCACCAAAGAGCAAAAAGGAUGUGAUGAGCUUCCUAGGAUGCCACAACUACAUCAGCUGUUUCAUAGCACAAUCCACAGUUAUAUGUGAACCCAUCUCCAAAAUGUUAAGGAAAGAUGCUAAAACCAGUUAGAUAGAGGACAGUCAAAAGUCUUUUGACAAAAUCAAGGAAUACCUGUCUACACCGCUAGUCCUAGUCCCACCAGAACUUGGGAGACCUUUGCUACUCUAUCUGUCCGUAUUAGAUGGAGCUUUUGGAUGUGUUUUGGGACAACAUGAAGAGACAGGAAGAAAGGAGCAAGCCAUAUACUACUUGAGUAAGAAGUUCACACCAUACGAAGCAUGAUACUCUCUGUUGGAACGCACUUUCUGUGCGUUGACCUGGACAACUCAAAAAUUGAGGCAUUACUUUUAUGCUUAUACCACGUACCUCAUAUCUAGGAUGGACCCUCUGAAGUACAUCUUUCAGAUGUCCAUGCCAACCGGAAAGUUAGCUAAGUGCCAGAUAUUGUUAAGUGAGUUCGAUAUCAUCUACGUAACUCAAAAGGCGGUCAAAGGACAAGCAUUGGCAGACCAUCUUGCUGAAAAUCCUAUGGGAGGAGAAUACGAACCAUUAAAAAUGUAUUUUCCUGAUGAAGAAGUAUCAGUCGUAGGAGAGGACAUUGCUGAAGCCUACGACGGUUGGAGAAUGUUCUUCGAUAGGGAUACAAACUUCAAAGGAGUAGGAAUUGGAGCAAUUUUGGUAUAAGAAAUAGGUUAAUAUUACCCAGUAUCUGCAAAACUUAGGUUUCCGUGCACCAACAAUAUGACAGAAUACGAGAGUUACUGGUAAUCGGCGAUUCAGAUCUUUUGGUACAUCAGGUUCAAGGAGAAUAGGUUACAAUUAACACCAAGAUACUACCAUACUUGUAUCAUGUGCAUGAAUUGAUGAAGAGCUUCAUAAAUAUAGAAUUCAAACAUGUGCCCAGAAUUCAAAAUGAGUUCGCAGACGCACUGACCACCUUGUCAUCAAUGAUACAACAUCUGGAUAAGAAUUUUAUCGACCCUAUCACGGUGAAGAUCCAUAAUCAACCGGCUUAUUGUGCUCAUGUUGAAGAAGAAACAGAUGGAAAAUCUUGGUUCCACAACAUCAAACAAUACUUGAUAAAAGGGUAAUAUCCAGAAAACAAACCAUACUAAGAAACACACAUUGCGGAGGUUGUCCAAUCACUUCUUCCAAAAUGGAGGGACCCUGUAUAGAAGAACUCCUGAUCUGGGGUUGUUAAGGUGUAUUGACGCAAAGGAGGCUUCCAGAUUGCUUGAGGAGAUACAUGCCGGAACUUGCGUACCAAAUAUGAACAGUUUUGUUCUAGCCAAGAAGAUACUUAGAGCUGGAUAUUUUUGGAUGACCAUGGAAACAGAUUGCAUCCGGUACGUCCAGAAAUGUCACCAAUGCCAGGUACAUGCAGACAUGAUAAGGAUACCACCAAAUGAGCUCAACGCAACAAAUGCACCUUGGCCUUUUGCUGCUUGGGGAAUGGACCUCAUUGGCCCAAUUGAGCCUACCGCUUCUGACGGGCACAUGUUCAUUUUAGUGGCUAUCGACUAUUUCACAAAAUGGGUAGAGGCUGCAUCUUACAAAGCUAUAUCUACGAAAGUCAUCGUACAUUUUGUCAAGGAUCAAAUUGUUUGACGAUUCGGGGUUCCUGAGUCCAUUAUCACUGAUAUUACCACCAAUUUCAACCGUGAUCUAAUGAAAGCCAUAUGUGAAACCUUCAAAAUCAAGCACAAAAACUCUACAACAUACAAGCCUCAAAUGAAUGGAGCUAUGGAAGCUCCAAACAAGAACAUCGAAAAGAUACUAAGGAACAACAACAACAACAACCCAGUAAAAUCCCACAAGUGGGGUAUGGGGAGGGUAGUGUGUACACAGACCUUACCCCUACCCCGAAGGAUUAGAGAGGCUGUUUCCGAAAGACCCUCGACUCAAGAUAAUAAAAAGAAGACAAAAGGAGAGGAUAUUAGAUUCAUCAUGGAAAUCGUAGGAAAAAUAGGAACAUAAAAUGCAGAAGAAAAAUGCAAAGCAAAAACGGUGGCUAGUAAAUGGAUCCAACAUCAAAAAAGAAAAUAGUAAGACACGACAUUGCCCCUAGCUCUCUUAGACAAAACCCUACUAGACUAGGCUCACAAAGGUACAAAGUAAUGCAAGACUGAACUACCUCCUAGCCUACAACCGUAAUACUCGACCUCCACAACAUCCUAUCAAGUUUCAUGUCCUCAGCACGAGAAGUUACCCUUUUCCCUAUCGGGGUACCGUACCAUGGUCAGCACAUCAACUGGGAAAACUCCUUAUUUACUGGUUUAUGGUACCAAAGUUUUCAUUCCAGCCGAGGUAGAAAAUCUUUCUUUAAGGAUCAUACAAGAAGCCGAACUCAGUAAUGCAGAAUGGAUAAGGAACCGCUAUGAGCAACUAGCCCUCAUAGAUGGAAAAAGAAUGAAUGCAGUAUGUCACGGUCAGCUUUAUAAGAAUAGAAUGUCCAGAGCUAUCAACAAAAGGGUUAGACCGUGACAAUUCACACCGGGGCAGCUGGUGCUGAAGUAGCUCUUCCCACAUCAAGAUGAAGCCAAAGGGAAAUUUUUACCGAACUGGCAAGGUCCUUACUUAGUUCACCGAGUUCUAACAGGAGGGGCACUCAUAAUUGCAGAAAUGGAUGGAGAGGUUUGGCCAAAACCUAUCAAUUCAGAUGUAGUCAAGAGAUAUUAUGUUUAGAUUGUUUACAUUCAUUCAUCUGAUAUAACUGAACUACGNNNNNNNNNNNNNNNNNNNNNNNNNNNNNNNNNNNNNNNNNNNNNNNNNNNNNNNNNNNNNNNNNNNNNNNNNNNNNNNNNNNNNNNNNNNNNNNNNNNNNNNNNNNNNNNNNNNNNNNNNNNNNNNNNNNNNNNNNNNNNNNNNNNNNNNNNNNNNNNNNNNNNNNNNNNNNNNNNNNNNNNNNNNNNNNNNNNNNNNNNNNNNNAAACUGGGGCAGAAUUUUGAGGAGGACCCUCAAAAUUCCGGAACGAGUCCGGCCGGUGCCAUCAUAUGCAAGACAGUUAAGUGAUUGGGGCAGAAUUUUGAGAAGGAUUCUCAAAAUUCCAGAGCAGAUUCAACAAACUUCGUUACACAAAAAUGACCAAAGGAUCAUUCAUCAAACUGGGGAAGAAUUUUGAGGAGGACCCUCAAAAUUCUAAUGCAAGGAAGCCGCAAUGUCUCUAAAAGUGUCACAGUCAUUAGUUCAUCUAAUUUACUUGAUGUCAUAUACCACUAUAUUUUCUAAAAUAAUUCUCUUUCAUCAAUAAGUACAUAUUUUCGAAAAUAUUAUUUCUGUGACAGCUAGGUGUUACCCAAGGUAACUCGAACAGGGUCCCUAGAGCAGAGCAAGUAGACAAGAGCUUGAACCAACCUUCCUCUACAAAACUCAUGACGUUUCUUUGGAUGCAGGCACAGUGAACAUAACUGGAGUAUUCACAAAUAUACACAAAUCAAAGUCACUAUCCUUAUAACAAUUAGGCCACCUGACGCAAAUAUAGAUCCAGCUAAGAAAUAUUCUACUCCUAUUUGCUACUUGUUCACUGCAUAAGGCUAAGAAUUGCCUUCUCUUUGCAUGAGACUAAGCCCUGUCUCAAAUCUUGCAUGAGGCUAAGCAUUGCCUUCUCUUUGCAUGAGACUAAGCCCUGUCUCAAAUCGUGCAUGAGGCUAAGCCCUGCCUCCAUACCUGCAUAAAGCUAAGCAUUGCCUUCUCUUUGCAUGAGACUAAGCCCUAUCUCAAAUCUUGCAUGAGGCUAAGCCCUACCUAUAUACCUACAUAAGGCUACGCAUUGCCUUCUCCCUACAUGAGGCUAAGCCCUGCCUCCCUACCCGCAUGAGGCUAAGCAUUGCCUUCUCUCUGCAUGAGACUAUGCCCUGUCUCAAAUCUUGCAUGAGGCUAAGCCCUGCCUUCUUAUUUGCAUAAGGCAAAGCACUACCUUCUCGUGAGAUUAAGCAUUGUCUCCCUCCGCAUAAGUGUUGCUCCAUUUUCAAAUUUGCAUUAUCUUCUUUUCUCGGGGCUAAGCUCUGCCCCCAAACUCUACAUGAGGCUAAGCGUUGCCUUGUUAUUACCUUUGGCAUCAUGUCUCUACACUUCAUAGGCUGAUAUAUAGCCAACAUAGUUCAAAGGCAUCAUCCUCAUAACCUGAAGACACCAUGUCAUGGCCUGAGGAUCUCUCAAUACUGCACAUUAUCAUUCAAAGGCGUCAUGAUUCAGAGGCACCAUUUUCAUGGCCCGAGAACAUCAUUUCAUGGCAUGUGAAUCUCUUAUCUCAUGAUUCAUGGCCCGGGAUAUCAUGGUCUAAGAACGUCAUCUUCACUAUCCAAAGACAACUUUCAUGGUCCAAAGGGAAUUUGCAUCAUGUUUAAAUUAUUGCAAUAAUCUAUAUACUCGCAUGCAUCACGUUUUAAGUUCUGCAGGAAGUCCAGGAGGUAACCGUUCUUCAAACAGGAGCAACUUUCGCUCCGGUUUUCGCUUGCACCACUUACACUCUGCCAUUUAACCGAUUCCCAUCAAAUACCCACCUUUACUCAAUGACCGUUCAGAUAUCUGCCCUAUGAUACAUCCAUUACGCUUCAGACUCAUAUUCAUAACUUAGCAUAAACUCAUAAUACUAUCCUCCCCAAAAGGAACCAUCCGAAACAUACUACCAUUCCUAUAACAAUUCCAUCGGCUUCAUUCACCGUUGGGUACAGAACUACACAUGGUCUGAUUCCUCUAAAACCAUGGAUAUAUAGGCAGUUCAGAGACUAGGGUGUGGCCUCUAUUUUUCAAAACACCUCAUUCGGUUAAAAUCGGUCAUCAUUUCUUUACCUGACAACUCUUUCAUCCUUCCCGGGUAAAGAGGGGCAACUGUUGAUACCCAAAUUCUCCCUCAUAUAUUUUUAACAUGCAUAUAUAUUUUCAAAAAUAGUGCACAUGCAUUUACAAACAUGCACAAGGAUUUCGAUAUCUUUUUCCAUAAUUUUAAAGGCUUUCAACCAAUUUAUUUCUGUAUUUUUACUAUACAAAUAUCCAAUAAUUAUACCUCAUAUUAUUUUUAUGAUGAUUUAGCCAUUUAAAUUUAGCAUUUAUGCCCAUAUAGUGUUUAAAUAUUUUAAUUGUAUUUUUAUAAUUAUGUUUGCAUUUUUUUAAGGUUAGAGUUACACAUUUUUGCAAUAAUAGCCUACAUAUACAUGCAUAAUUAUAUUAUUUACAUGAAAAAUGAAUUUUUAUAUUUUUAUAAUAUUAAGUAAUUAUUUUGAAUCAUUUACAUGAAUAAAUGAUAUUUUUAUCAUUUAUAAAUAAUUUUAUAAAAUUAUUUUAAAUAAUUAAAUGGGUAUUUAAAACAUAGCUUUUUUUUAAAAAAAAUCGGACCUAGCCCAAAACUACCCUAGCACACUUAAAUAUAACCCAUAACCCAAUCUCCAAAUAACCCGUCGCAACCCAGAUGGAAUCCUGGCUGUUGAUAUCAGAAGAUCAACGGCCCAGGAUUCAUUUCCUUUUUUAUUAACCAAACGACCCCCCAAACCCUACCCAUUUUCUCAAACACUGUCGCCCCUGAAUUCCUACCUACUCUCUUCUCUCUCAACCUCUCCCUAACCCUAGUCUACCAUCACUUGAACCCCCUUCAAUCCAUGGGGUUUCUCUUCGAUCUUACGCCCUAACCGGCCUCUUAUCUCUAUUGGUUGUUCAAUCUCUUUGUUGUUUGAUGGAAUCUCAAGGGGAUUCGAACAGAUUUGGUUAAAAUCCCUCAAUCUUUGGAUGCAUCCGCCUGUAUUCACCAUUUGUUCGUGAGUAUUAUCACUUUUGUGUUUUCGUGGCUUCAAAUCUCCGGUCUAAAACUCAAUUUUUACACCUUCGUUCAUUUCUGUACAGACCUAGCUAUUUUUGGUCGAAUAGGUUUAGAUAUCUUUAGAUCUGGAGUGUUUGGGGUUUGUUUAACCAUUUUCCUUUAUGGUUUUUUCAUUUUUACCGCUAUUAUCUACCGAUUUCACUUUUUUCCUUAGAACUAAGGUUUCAUCUUUUAAGUUUUUGCAAAUAUUUAAAACAUUUAAAGGUUCAACCAUGGACUUUUUUCUUUACUACUCGACUAGUUUUCAUGCUUGAUGUUUCAUCUCUGUGUUUCAAUAUGCUUAAAGUUUUCCAUUAUUCGAUUAUUUGUCUCAUUGUUCUUGCCCGUUCACUUUGGCCUGGUUAAAUAAAUUGGUUAAUUGAUUUAUUUACCUAAUUAGGAUUUGAAAUUAUAAAUGACCCCUGACUUAUUUCUUACCUUAUUAAACUUCAAUCUUGCCGGUUAAUUGAUUCUCCCUAAUCUAAGUGAUAUUUUCCCGGAUUUUGUCAUAUUAAUUGAUUAGGUUUAGCCCUAAUUAACUAGUUGAAUGAUUUACAUACCUUAUUUGUGAGCUCUUAAUUUUCUUUGCCUUAUUUGUCAUGCUUUGCUUAUAUAAACCUCAUCAUUCUGAUUUUUUAAAGAUACGCUCAGACUCAGACAUCUAUACUUACAAGCACACACUGAUACACACUAACAGUUCUUUGAUUUGUUGCACUGUCUAGCUGGCUGAGAGCCAAGGCUAGACCCUUGGAUUUCAUUCGUCUUCACCUUCCUGUUUGCUAUCUCCUUAGCUGGUAUGCCUCCAUUUCUGUUAUCAUGUUCUCUUCUAUAUGCUAUGUAGUUAGACUUCAACAUGAUUCUGUUUGCCGUAUGUCUUCCUGUUUACUACUCUCUUAACUAAUAUGCCUCAAUUUUUAUUACAAUGCUCUAUUCUAUAUGCUAUAUAGUUAGUUCACAAUAGACAUCAACACAUCUCUGUUUCAUGUUUGUUUCUCUCUGAACUAGCAUGCCUCAAUUCCUGUUAGCCUACCCUGUUCUGUAUGCUAGUAUGUAUAGUUUAUCUUAACAUGUUUCUGUUUGAUCCAUGAUUUCUAUGUACUUCUUUCUAGACUAGUAUGCUUUAAUUUCCUACUAUCCUUCUCUAUGUGUUUGUUUGUUUGGUUAUCUUAACUUCAACAUGCUUCUGUUCAAUAUAUGUCUACAUAUUUCCACCUAGUAGUAAUUAAUAAGCCAAAUCAACCUCAGACAUUUGAAACCUUGUUGAUUCAAUUGUAUGCCUCUAUGAUACUGCAAAUAUGUAUGGUCAGUUUUGUUUGUAACUCAAGUGCCCAUGCUCUUUUGUGAUUGCUUUAGUUGACACAGUAUUCAUACCAAUCUGUCUGGAUUUUGCUUGUCUAGGUAGAAUUCUAUUUCUAUUUGCUCCUGAAGAAAAACUAUUUUCUAAAAAACUAUCCCCUACCCCUUGCAUGUAUUACCCUUUCAAAUUUCCACUCGUAGCUGCCUAGGUUCCUACCACCUCCAAUGUGAGCACUGCCUAGGGUCCCUGAGACUCAUUUGAACUCUGACACAUUAGAGCUGGCUUCCAAUCUCUUAUGAAUCCUGUGUUGAAUGUAUGGAUCCAGUGUGAGCAUUGUCUGGGGUCCUUGAGGCUCUUUGGGAACUUUGACACACUGGAAGAAUGGCUUAAGGUGUUAUGUAUCUUGCCACCUAUGUAUAUCAGAUUUGCUUGCUUGAAGUCCUGGUUUCUAGGAUUGAUGUUGCGCCUGCCAUGGCUCCCUAUAGUGCAAUGAAUAGCUUUGUGUAGUUUAUUCAUAUUGGUCUAUAAUAAUUCUCUUUGUAAAAAAAGAUAUUGGGGUUAUUAGUAAAAGUUGGGGGUGGUCUAUUCUUACAUCUCUAUUAAAAUUGAAUAGAGAUCCUGCCUAUAGGACUUGACUAUGCUGAUUGCAUUAUGUGAUGUUUAAAGAUCCUGCCUAUAGGAUUUUAUGAUUGUUUGACUCUGUGCUACACAUCUGCAUGUUAGAAAUCCUGCUAUAGGACUUUACGUUUAAUUCUGCACAUUAGAAAUCUUAUUUAUGGGAUCUGCACGUAUUUUCAAUUCAAUGUGCAGUAAUGACCAUGUCUAUAGGAUCUUGUUUGUUUGAAUAACCAUUUUCUUGGCAAUGUGCUCAAAGAAUUCUGCCUACGCAUGAGUAAUAGAGAUCGUAUCUAUAGGAAACUAAAGUCACCUAGAUACCAUGCCUAUAGGAAAUAAGAUAAUCAAUUCUGCAUAUAGUUAUCAUGCCUUGGGAAAUAUCAAUUUUGCGCUUAGAUAUCAUGCCUAUAGAAAAUAAACGUAAAAACACUUUCAACACUUAGAUAUCAUGCCUAUAGGAAAUACAUAUAAAAUCAGGUCUUGACCCUUAGACAUCAUGCCUAUAAGAAGUAAGUGUAAAAAAACCAGUGUCUGUGUUUAGGUAUCAUGUCUAUAAGAAAUAAUGCCAUAAUCAGUUUCAGCACUUAGAAAGCAUGCCUGUAGGAUUUAAAAAUAAAAAUCUGCCUAUUAAAAUUAGCAAUUGGUUUACAGCUUAGAUACCGUGUCUACAGGGUUCCACCCGAUUAUCACUUAGGCAGGCCUGUAGGUUAAUUAAAUUUCUGGGUCUAAAACUGUGAUUGCUUGUUUGAAAUAUGCCUAGAUUCAGAGUAUUAACCAAAUCAGUAGGCAAACUGAUAGGUACUCGUCUUGUUACGGCCAUAAUAUUACGUUGAUAUUAUGUCCGACAAUAUUAUAUUACGAUAAUGUUACAUCCUGCACUAUUAUAUUACGAUAAUGUUACGCCUUGCAGAAUUACAUUACGAUGAUGUUACGUUUUUCAGUAGUAAAUUACAAAGAUGUUGCACCCUAUAAUAUUGUACAUUGAAUUUAUCGUAAGGUAAUUGACAUCAAUCCAAGGAAAAGAUUAUUCAGACAUUAUAAGGAUUAUGCUAUUUCAAAAGUGAUGAGUAAAUUCGUAAAGAUGAGAGCGGAAGCAAGUCAAAGAAAAUAAAUUUUGGUCCAAGUUUGGCAUGUUGGGAUAAUAUACGGGCCGAGCGUUAAUACCCGAUAUUUAUGGACUAGUACCAUACAAGGUACCAUAUGACCAUGAUAGUAUGAUAUAUAUAUAAGGGAAUUAAAAAUAAGUAGAAUUUUAAGUAAUUUGAGAUAAUUCUUAAUUAUGCGGGAAAUUGGUUAAUUACCGGGUACCGGGACAUUACCUAAUUAAUUGGGGAUAUAUUGGAUAAGUAUGUAACAAGUAUGAGAUGGCAGCCCCUCCUUUAAUUUAAAAUGACUCAUAAAUCAUUACUAAUAGGUGGCAUGAAAAUGGAAAAGGUUUCACACCUAAGGUGACACCAAUUUUCCAAUGAGGGACCCACCUACGCUAAAGAUACCAAUCUCCAAAAAUUAGAAUUCACUUACUACACUUCUUCUGAAAGAGUCCAUGAACUUUUAGGAAAAUUAUGUCUCAAACUUAAUAGUCCAGCAAGAUGUUCUUACAUAGAAAUCACGUUCAAACAUUCUAAUAUGCAAAUGCAUAUUAUAUAACAUAAAAGCUACGCCCAUGCUUUCAAAUUAACAUGAGAUUUUGCAAUAUUAACGGAGUACGGUGUAAUAUUUCUCAAGACAAUCGACUCAGGUAUGUUAAGGCAAUCCCUUCUUUCUUUUGGCAUGAUCCAUACGAUACAAACGAAGCGAGAAAUGCAUAACUUUCACAAAUGACUCUAUUCAUAGAAGUAUUAAAAAUGCCUACGUUCUUGAAUUCCCAUAUGUCCUAUUAUUUUAUCCUCUAUUCAUGAGUCUCAGAAAAAUACGUAAGUUGAAAAAUUUUACUUCAUGAUAUUACUCAAAGACAUAAUGGUCUUAUGACAUUCCGAAAGAUUUUAUUAACGCACUUCUCAUGCAAUGCAUUCAUGUACAUUGACCCAUGACUAGAUGGCAAGAUAUACACAUAUAUAUGUAUAUUAUAUGUAUAUGGUAAAUGGGAAAAGGUUACGACGUUAUAUACGCACCAUCACCUGAUCAGCUGGUAUACGUUGAUUAUUUUGCCCAUAGUGGCCGAGAUGGUAUGAUGGGAUGCCCUCAGAGGCUGAUGAUGUUAUGAAACAUGUACCUAUGCUCGACACGACAUUCAUAUACAUAUGCAUGACACUAUAAGUAUUUCAUGAUUUACAAAGUUUUCCAGACUUACAGGUUGAGUUAUUUACUCUAUAUUUCUUCUAUGUCUGUUAUGUACUUAUUUAUAUGCCUUACAUACUCGGUACAUUUUUCGUACUAACAUCCCUUUUGCCUGGGGACGUUGUGUUUCAUGUCUGCAGGUCCCGAUAGACAGGUAGAGAGCCCUCCAACUAGGCUAUUAGCUCAGUGGAAGAUGUUGGUGCGCUCCAUUUGCUUCGGAGUUUCUUGUUUAGUUAGUAUGAUUUAGAUGUGUACUGUUUGGUAUGGUGGGAUUCUGUCUCGACCUUUAUGAAAAUUAUGUAUUCUUAGAGGCUUAUAGAUAGAUGUCAUGUACGUAAAAUAUUGUAUGGCCUUGUCAGCCUAUGUUCAGUAUAUGAGUGGUUAUUUUGGCCUUAUAGACACGUAUGUCUUAUGUAUAAAUUGGUAUCACAUGUUGUAUUCUACUUAACUUAUGGCAGCCUUCCGGCUCAGUUAUCUGUGAUAGUAUAACAUGAAAAGAUACGUUAUGUUGGUACUCAGUUGGGUAAGGUAUCGGGUGCCCGUCGCGGCCCAUCAAUUUCGGUCGUGACAAAAGUGGUAUCAGAGCAGUUCUGUCCUAGGGAGUCUACUAGCCGUGUCUAGUAGAGUCUUGUUUAUGGGUGUGUCGUGGACCACACUUAUAAGCAGGAGGCUACAGGGCAUUUAGGAUUUUUACUCUUUCUUCUUACUCUAGAUCAUGUGGUAGAGCUCAUUUGUAAGAAUUCAAACUCCUAACUUCUAUUUUAUUCGUAAUAAGACGAUACCUACAUCCAUAAAGACAGUUGGUAAAAGACAUGGCUAUGGGAGAGUUGAGUUAGAGGAACUCUAAUUUGCAUCAUGCUUAUGAUAAGUAAAUGUGAGGUCUUCAACGGAUCAUGUGCGUACUGAAAGGUGUAAGCCUCUUGAUAAUGAGUCUUGAGGCAAGAAUACCUAUCUACCUUAAUGGUGAAAGAUAAUGAGAGAUUCGAAAGAUAAAUACAAGUUUCAACAAGCAAAAGAAGUAAGAUGAAGAAGAGUACGAGGCGCCAGUUAAUGAAGGUUAACAAUGUUUAUAGUUCUGGCAGAGGAAUGUAAGCUUUUUGAGUUAUAUUCAAUAGUAACAUAGGUAUGUACAAUUGGCCGUACCCAUCUCAAUUACGCCCUGUGGGGGCCAACAAGUAUAGUUUAAGAAAAGGACGGAACAUCAGGAUCUGGUUGGGGUAGAGUAACCCAAAAUGGUGAAUGGAUUGUUUGUGUUAGUUGACAUUUUUGAAGGGUAUUACAAAUGUGCUAAUAGAUCUUCUUGUGAGAUACCCAGAUGGUGCACUCUAGAACAUUACAAUUAGA